rnacentral:lncRNA from 1 species
GAGGUUGAAGCUGCUAGUCCCGAUGUUGGAGGAAAUUAGAGAAAGCAACGACCCCAUCAGUGAAGAAACGUUGGGGACGCUGGUCUCCUUGAAAGAAGCCUUGAGCUCGGCCAAGGAUCAUCUCAAAUUCUGCAGCGGAGGGAGCAAGAUCUAUCUGGUGCGUGCGUGCGUCUGCUUUGAUUAGAUCGGUCACUGAGAAACUGAUGAUAUCUGUUUGUAGGUCAUGGAGAGAGAACAAGUGACGAGUAAGCUGCAGGAGGUUUCAGUUCAGCUGGAACAAUCUUUAAGUAAGAUUCCUUAUGAGGAUCUUGACAUAUCAGAUGAAGUUAAAGAACAGGUAAAAAAUCUUAGAUUAGUUCAGAUGUGUUGAAGUUGGAUCAAGAUUUGGUGGCGUUUUGUUUGUUUUUGCAGGUUGAGCUGGUUCUGAGUCAGUUUCGGCGAGCCAAAGGAAGAGUAGAUGCAUCAGACGAUGAGCUUUAUCAAGAUCUUCACUCAUUGUGUAUCAAAAGCAGUGAUGUGGAUGAUCACCAGCCUGCCCUGCAGCGGGUUGCAAACAAGUUACAGCUGAUGGAGAUUCCUGACUUAGCUCAAGAAUCGGUGGCUCUGCACGAAAUGGUCGCUUUGAGCGGUGGUGAAAACAUAGAGGAGAUGGCAAUGGUGCUGAAGCUGAUUAAGGAUUUUGCGCAGAUGGACAACAGCGACGACCAUAAAGUAAAUGGACAAACUUCCACGGCUGCGAGUCAGAAGAUACCCGCCGUGAUUCCCGAUGAUUUUCGCUGCCCAAUAUCUCUGGAGAUGAUGAGAGAUCCAGUUAUUGUUUCAACAGGGCAGGUAAAGUUCAUUUCAACUUCAAUUUACUUGAUCUCUUCAUGUUUGAUAAUCUCUCUCUUCUGUGUAUAGACCUACGAACGCACCUGCAUUGACAAGUGGAUAGAAGCUGGGCACUCGACAUGUCCUAAAACACAGCAGGCGCUAACAAGCACAACGCUCACACCUAACUAUGUUCUCCGUAGUCUCAUAGCUCAGUGGUGCGAGGCUAAUGAUAUUGAGCCUCCAAAACCUCCUUGCAGUUUUAGGCCCAGCAAAGUAUCGUCCUUCUCCUCCCCAGCUGAGGCAAACAAGAUCGAAGAUCUUAUGUGGAGACUCGCUUACGGUAACCCAGAGGACCAAAGAUCUGCAGCUGGGGAGAUCCGCCUCCUUGCAAAACGAAAUGCAGACAACCGUGUGGCCAUAGCCGAAGCUGGAGCCAUACCUCUUCUCGUCGGCCUUCUCGCAACUCCUGAUUCUCGUAUCCAAGAACAUUCUGUCACAGCUCUUCUCAACCUCUCCAUAUGUGAGAACAACAAAGGAGCCAUUGUUUCUGCUGGAGCUAUCCCUGGUAUAGUUCAAGUUCUCAAGAAAGGAAGCAUGGAGGCUAGAGAGAAUGCGGCUGCUACGCUUUUUAGUCUCUCCGUGAUUGACGAAAACAAAGUCACUAUCGGUGCCUUGGGAGCAAUCCCACCCCUCGUUGUGCUGCUUAACGAAGGCACGCAUAGAGGCAAGAAAGACGCUGCUACUGCACUUUUCAACCUCUGCAUAUACCAAGGAAACAAAGGAAAGGCCAUACGAGCGGGAGUGAUUCCCACCUUGACUAGACUCUUAACAGAGCCCGGAAGCGGAAUGGUCGAUGAGGCGCUGGCGAUUCUGGCCAUUCUCGCUAGCCAUCCCGAAGGGAAAUCCAUCAUAGGAUCACUGGACGCCGUCCCGAGCCUGGUGGAGUUUAUCAGAACGGGUUCCCCUAGAAACAGAGAGAACGCAGCUGCGGUUCUAGUUCACCUCAGCUCUAAUGACCCACAACAUCUGGUGGAAGCUCAGAAACUCGGCCUUAUGGGUCCGUUGAUAGAUUUAGCCGGAAAUGGGACAGAUAGAGGGAAAAGAAAAGCAGCCCAGUUGCUUGAACGUAUAAGCCGUCUAGCUGAACAGCAGAAGGAGACGGCUGCUCAUGAACAAACCAAAGAAGAAGCUGAACCAACAGAUUCAGCAUCAACCACAGAAGCUGCUGAUCCUUGAAAAAAACUAAGUUCAUUUCUCCUACUUACGUCUGUUAUUAUUCCCACUUUCUUUUUUAUUCUCCUUCGAGGUAGGCUUCACUGUAGACGGCAGAAGCAGUCCUGUGAUACCUCUGCAAGGACGGAGCAAUCCGGACCUGAGGAGAGAAAAGCAAAUAUGCAUACAUAGACGUCAACUUGUAUCAUUGUAAUCUUAAAUGUUUGUAAUCAACUCCACGGGCUUUUUUUUCUUUUGGUUUAAAAUUUAAAUACAAGAUCUCUGUUCACUUUCCAAAUUGCAUUACUAAGACCAUCUCCAAUAUAUUUUGCUAUUUUCAUUUCUAAAAUAGAGGAAUUCUAUAACAGAAAUGAGAAUUACUCCAAUGUAUUUCUCUAUAAUAUCAAUCUCCAAUUAUAGAGUGAAAAAUAGAGGAAUGCUAUUUCUUCUUCUAUAAAUAGAGGAAAAUAUAGAGAUCUCUAUUAUAGAAGAAGAAAUAGAGGUGGGUUGGAGUAAUUUUACCUCUAAAUGUUAUUAUAGAGGUGAAAAUAAAUAGGUUGGAGAUGCUCUAAGAGAUACUGGUUGAAAAUACUGCAGAUUUUGUUUUUUUCUUUCUUGAACGUAUGAUUAACCUUUCUGUAGACUCGUGCAUAUCUCCAUUGUUUUUACUGCAACAUUAUCAAACAGAAAAACGUCUCCAUUUUAACUUGCUUCAUUCAAUUCAUAUCCACCUUUUGCUCACAAAAGUGGCACCAACAUUUUUUUUUUUGGAACCAACAUUUUUCACUCGCAGCAUUGCCCAUAUCAAUAUAUCAUAGAAAGGGAAACGACGUUGAGAAGGCUUCUUUCACGGACUAACUUUAAACUCUUGUACUAAGUACAAGCUAUCAAAUUCGACCAGAAGUGUUGUGUUGAGUUGUAAUGUUCGUGUUUGCUGGUGAGUUUCUUUGUUCAAUUGUUGUGUUGUAUUUGUUUUUAGUCACUUUUUUUAGUUUUUGGGUCCAAAUAAGAUUACACAAAGUGGCUCAAUUUGUUAGUAAUAUAAGUUUGAUUUUUUUUAUGAACGUUAUUUCCAAGAAAACACAAAUUUUACUGUCAUUUUUGGCCAAACAGACAAUUACGUAGCCAAGUAUUUGGGAUCCCACAAAUUUAACCAUUUUUAUGUUUGAAUACUUCAUAGAGCAACUGUCACAACAUCUGAUUCAGCUAAUACCAAAAUUGAUUGUUUGCCGCGUAGUACAUACGUGCCCAUGAUUUCACAUAUGUCCUGAUAAUAUGUUCGACGUUUUGGAUUUCUAAACCUUUUUAAAUCAGGUUAUUUGGUUUAGGAAAAACAGAAAGUUAGGUCUACAAGUAGUCAUCAUCAUCGGCUCUGAUUUUUUCUCUUAAGAAGUAGCCUACUACGUGAACACAGAAAAAAAGAAGUAGCCUACUACUGUCGAACUGGGGAAGGUAACGAAUUUCUAAUAAUAGACAUAUAUAUCUUCAAAUACACGAGAUCAAACUAGUGCUAUAAUUUUCCUUUCAUUUUCUUUAUGAUGUCACUCCAACAAAAGAAAUACCAGCAAAGCAAACAGCUAUUAUUUGCAAAUACUACCUUGCGCUAGGCAAAUCCUUUGUGUCAUAGCUCAUACUCACUUUAGGGGAACUUUGAGAGUACAUGUCUUGACCAUUACCUUUCAUCGACAUUUCAGAAGUAAGACACUCUUUCAGCUCAAUGACAACUUGGAACAUGUUUGGUCGUUUUUCUGAAGAAGGGUUUGCACAUAACAUAGCCAACUCAAGAGCUCUCCAGGCCGAAUGAGAGUUGUAAUCACCAUGAAGGUUAGGAUCCAUGAUUCCAGUAAUAUCUCCUCUAUUAACACUACAAGAAAACGUAAUUUUAACGAGGAAGUUUAACGAGGAAAAAUAAUCCUCGUAAAAAAACGUUGAUUUUGCGAGGAAAGUACGUUGAGAAAGAAAAGCAUCGUUAUUUCGUCGUAAGCUAACGACAAAAAAUAUUCGUCGUAAAGACGAUGUAAAUUAACGUGGCUUUUACGAGGAAAUAGUUUUUCCUCGUAAAAGCCACGUAAAUUUCGCGAGUGCUUUACGACGAAAUAUUUUACGUGUACUUAACGAGGAAAUUUUGAAUCCACCAACUUGGUAGGUGGCUCACGUUUUUUUUUGGCCAUACAAUUAAUUUUCGUCGUAAUUUCAUAGUAAAAUUACAACUACCAGAUUCGAAAUUUUCUAUAAAUAUGGAUGUUGGAACAUCAUUUUAAACACACCAACAACAAAAAACGUGAAAGAAAAAAAAUGGCUGGCUCUGGGACUAUUUACGAGUUGCGGAAUUGGAUGUAUAUGCAUAGAGAUGCUAACGGGAGAGUGACGAAAGAAUACCUUGCGGGGCUGGAGACAUUUAUGCACCAAGCAGAUUCAACACCGCUCGCCCAAGAAAGUGGUAAGAUGUUCUGUCCUUGUCGGAAAUGCAACAAUUCGAAAUUGGCAAACCGUGAAAAUGUUUGGAAGCAUUUAAUAAAUAGAGGUUUCACGCCAAAUUACUAUAUCUGGUUUCAACAUGGGGAAGGUUAUAAUUAUGAUCAGAAUGAAGCUAGUAGUAGUAAUAGCAAUUUUCAGGAAGAACCGGUUAAUCAUCAUUUGCAUAAUGAACAUAGUUACCAUCAGGAGGAGAUGGUAGAUUAUGAUAGGGUUCAUGAUAUGGUAGCUGAUGCAUUCGUAGCUCAUGAUGAAGAUGAAGAACCUAAUAUAGAUGCAAAAAAGUUUUACGGAAUGUUAAACGCGGCGAAUCAACCACUUUACAGUGGUUGUAGAGAAGGUCUCUCUAAAUUGUCGUUGGCUGCUAGAAUGAUGAAUAUUAAAACUGAUCACAAUCUACCUGAAAGUUGCAUGAACGAAUGGGCGGACUUGUUUAAAGAGUAUUUGCCGGAAGACAAUGUGUCUGCUGAUUCUUAUUAUGAGAUUCAGAAAUUAGUUUAUAGUCUUGGGUUGCCUUCGGAGAUGAUAGAUGUCUGCAUCGACAACUGCAUGAUCUAUUGGGGAGAUGAUGAGAAGCUAGAAGUAUGUCGAUUCUGCAAGAAGCCACGAUUCAAGCCGCAAGGACGGGGACGUAAUAGGGUACCGUACCAAAGGAUGUGGUACCUACCAAUUACAGACAGAUUGAAAAGAUUGUAUCAAUCAGAGCAGACUGCUGCAAAGAUGAGAUGGCAUGCCGAGCAUACUCAGACGGAUGGUGAGAUGACUCAUCCAUCAGAUGCAAGAGCCUGGAAACAUUUCAACAAAGUACAUCCGGAUUUUGCUAGCAAUAGCCGGAAUGUGUAUCUCGGAUUAUGCACAGAUGGAUUUAGUCCGUUCGGAAUGUCAGGGAGACAAUAUUCAUUGUGGCCAGUCUUUCUUACGCCAUACAACCUGCCACCGGAGAUGUGCAUGCAACGGGAGUUGCUAUUCUUGACGAUAUUGAUACCUGGUCCGAACCAUCCAAAAAGGUCCCUGGAUGUUUUCCUACAACCACUGAUAAAAGAGUUGAAGGAUUUGUGGUCAACAGGGGUGAGGACGUAUGAUUGUUCAACGAAGACGAAUUUUACGAUGCGAGCUAUGCUUUUGUGGACCAUAAGUGACUUUCCUGCAUAUGGGAUGUUGUCUGGAUGGACUACACAUGGGAGAUUAGCUUGUCCAUAUUGUAAUGGAACGACAGAUGCGUUUCAACUGAAGAAUGGUAGGAAGACAAGUUGGUUUGAUUGUCAUCGUCGAUUUCUUCCCAUUGGCCAUCCUUACCGAAGAAACAAGAAUUUGUUUAGGCACAAAAGGGUUGUGAGAGACACUUCUCCACCAUAUCUAACUGGAGAACAAAUUGAAGCACAAAUCGACUACUACGGAGCUAACGAAACAGUUCGUUGGGGUGGUAAUUGGCAUGUCCCUCGUAAUAUGCCUGAUUCUUACGGUGUUCAUCACAACUGGCACAAGAAGAGUAUAUUUUGGGAGUUGCCAUAUUGGAAGGAUCUUCUUCUGCGCCACAACCUCGAUGUGAUGCAUAUAGAGAAGAAUUUCUUUGAGAACAUCAUGAAUACAAUAUUGAAUGUCCCAGGGAAGACAAAAGACAACAUAAAAUCGAGGUUGGACUUGCCGGAUAUUUGCUCAAGAAGCGAGUUACAUAUUAAAAGCAAUGGACAAGUUCCCGUUCUGAUAUUCAGACUGUCUUCAGAAAAAAAGUCGGUGUUGUUCAACUGGGUGGCAUCAGAAGUGAAGUUCCCCGAUGGGUAUGUUUCAAAUCUCUCUAGAUGUGUUGAAAAGGGUCAAAAGUUCUCUGGGAUGAAGAGUCAUGAUUGUCAUGUCUUUAUGCAACGACUACUGCCCUUUGCAUUUGCGGAGCUACUUCCAACAAACGUACAUGAAGCACUUGGAGGUUCGUAGUGUUUUAUAUCACAAUAAUUUUAUAACGGUCUAGUUUGCAAAAUAAUAUACGAUUAACAAUGUGUUUAAUUUUUUUUGGAAUAUAAAAGGCAUUGGAGCAUUUUUCAGGGAUCUGAGCACACACACUCUUAAAGAAGAAGUUGUAGAACAGCUUCAGGAGAACAUUCCCAUCUUAUUGUGCAACUUGGAGAAGAUAUUUCCUCCUGGAUUUUUUGACGUCAUGGAGCAUCUAGCUGUCCACCUCCCAUAUGAAGCAUUGCUUCGUGGACCUGUACAUUACGGAUGGAUGUAUCAGUAUGAGCGAGCCAUGAAAUAUUUGAAGGGAAAAGCAAAGAACCUCGCCAAAGUUGAAGGUUCUAUAAUUGCUGGAAGUUUGACGGAAGAAGUUUCUCACUUCACAUCGUACUACUUUGCGUCAAAAGUACGUACCCGUAGAAGAGCUCCAAGAAGAUAUGAUGAUGGUGGAGUUGCGCCAACAUAUGCAGUUGCUGGUGUUCCAGACAUCUUUAGCCAGAUUGGACGACUCGGUGGGAAGUCUAAAGAGGUUUGGUGGUCGAGUGAACAAGACGCUCAUAGUGCACACACCUAUAUUCUACUCAAUUGCGAGGAUCCAUUGAUGCGUUAUUUUGAAAGGUAACAUAUAUGGACACUUCAAAACACAUAUAAUUAAUUAUAUAAUUGCAAGAGAUUCAUUCCUAUGAAAUGUGAUUAAUUUUACAGCCUAUUUGUUUCUCAAGUCGAAGAAACAUUUCCUGGUAUAUCCACAAGUGACGUAGACAAAAGGAAAGAUCAGCACUUCAUUAAGUGGUUGCGGAAUCAGGUAUUAUAACUCAAACUAUUUUUUCAUACAUGAUUUGUAUUUUAAUGUUCUCUUUAUUUUUGCAGGUUGAUUAUGACGACGAUGCAGAUUAUCCUAAGUGGUUACACGAAGUAAUUCAAUCUCCACUUGUAAAGGUCACCACAUCACAGAUGUAUUUCACACGAGGCUACACUUUUCACACAUAUGAGUAUGGUAGACAGCGGGCGACCAGUAACUAUGGAAUAUGUGUGAAAGGGGAAACAGAUUUCUACGGGAUCUUGACGGAGAUUAUUGAAGUCGAAUUUCCAGGGAUACUGAAGCUGAAAUGCGUCAUCUUCAAAUGUGAAUGGUUCGACCCCGUCGUCAACAGAGGUGUUCGGUCUAACAAAUUUGGUGUAGUUGAUGUCAACGGUGGACGUCGGUACAACAAAUUCGAGCCUUUCAUCUUAGCUUCACAAGCAGACCAAGUUAGCUUCCUUCCAUACCCUCGGAUGAGAGAUUCGGGUAUAAAUUGGUUAGCAGUGAUCAAAGUUACACCUCGAGGACGAAUCAUCAGUGGAGAAGAACCACCAUUGCAAGAAGAACAGAUAAAUGAAGUCGAGGAACCUGAACAAGAAGUUGAUGACAUCCUUCUCAUUGAUCCGCAUAAUCACGAAUACGAAGAUCUUACCGAUGAUGCCACAGACGAAGCUGUAGAAGACGAGUUUAAUGAAAAUGAUGAUAUUUCUAGUGAUGACGAGAAUGUCGAUGUAUCCGAUUGAUGUAUUUGAUUUUGUGUAGUUUGUUUUAUGAAUAAGGUAAUGUGAGAGUUUGUUUUAUGAAUAAGGUAAUGUGGGAGUUUGUUUUAUGAAUAAGAAAUUGUGGGAGUUUGUUUUAUAAAUAAGUAAAUGUGGGAAUUGUGGUUUGGAAUGGAAAUAAACAUGGGGUUUGGAAUAUAUGAAGUAGAAGAUAAGGAAUAUGGGGUUUUGGGGUUUGGGGUUUCGGAUUUUAGGGAUUUAAACGUACUGCUCGUUAAUUCCUCGUAAUUUGACGUCGAAUGUACGACGUAAUCGUCGUUUAUUCCACGUAGGACAGAAUCGUCGUAAAGACCUCGUAAGGUAAAUUGACGUAAAUACCACGUAAAGUAAAUGACGAAGGAGGCACUCUUUAAUUCCACGUAGGAUGAUUUCGUCGUAAACACCUCGUAAGGCCACGAGGAUUUUACGACGAAAUUAAAAAAGCGGGACACGCUAAUUCCACGUAAGCCAGAAUCGUCGUAAAAGAGUCGUAAACUAACGACGAUAUUACGACGAAAAUAUUAAAAAUACUAAAAAAAAGAAGAGAAGAAAGAUGCUUGAAUCACAUUUGGCGAGACUUACGUAAGUCUCGACCACAUGAGUUCCAAAUAUCUUCUUCUCUUCUUUUUUUUCCAAAUUUUCUAAAUUGGUGAAAAGCGGGACUUGCUACUUCCUCAUAGUAUAAAAACUAAAAAAAAGAAAAAAAGAAAGAUACUAGAAUUAUAUGUGGCGAGACUUAAGUCUCACCCACAUAAAUUCUAAUAUCUUCUUUUCUUCUUUUUUUUUUCAAAUAUUUCUAAUUUGAAAAGUAUUUUGGUGAGGAGUUUGACUUGUGUGUGUGGGACUUGUGUGUGUGGUUUGAGAAGGAAAGUUGUGGGUAUUUAUAGAAAAUAAAGGCUCGCUAAUUCCUCGUAACUGGUUUACUCGUUAAUUCCACGUAACCCUUUUCGUCGUAAAAACGUCGUUAACGAAAACGCGGGCCUUUGUAUUUCGUCGCUAUUUCGUCGUAACUGAAAACGCGGGCCUCUGUAAUUCCUCGUAAGUUUACGAGGAAAUUACGAGGACAAGUAAUCUUAUAUAUAUCCCGAGCGAGCUCGCUCCGUCUUUCCUCUCCACUUCCUCUCCACUUCCUCCCUAAUUCGUAGCAAUGGUAAGUCUCUCUAAUUCCUCUCUAGUUUGAUUAGUUUAGGAUAGAUUAGGUGGUUAGUAUAGGGAAUUUAGAUAGGUUUACGGAUCUUAUGUUAUUUAGUGUUGAUUAGGUGGAUAAUGUUGGGAAGUAUAUGUUUACGAAAAUUUAAAAAAUUAAAUUUUUUCUCAGGUUCGAAAAGGUAGACUUACUGCCCAUUACAGAGAGAUGUUCGGAGAGCCGGGUAGUCGUUUAGACCCGUCGUCUUCUUCAGCUCCCGGUUCUUCGGGUCAGGAGACUGUCCCCGAGACUCAGUACACUCAGAGAGUCAUUGGAUCUCCUUCUUCUAGUGCACCAUCGGUUCUUCACGUGCCUCCCCAGAUGCCUCCUCCUCCUGUGCCUCCUACGAUGCCGGCACCUCCGAUGCCCGCGGCCGAGAUUCAUCCCGAUUUGAUGGUGCCUCCGAGUGCUCCUUACUCGCAGUACACCGUAGAGGACAUUCUCCGUCUGCCAGGCAGAGAAGGUUUACCAGUCAUCGACCCCGACCGACCGGACGGAACUUUAUGGUAUGUUUCAUUAUUUUUUUAUUCUUUUUAAAUUACUUUAAAAAAUAAUUUAUAUUUUAAAUUUGUAUUUUUCAGGUGGGGGAUUGACGGAUGUCUUGCAUCGGACGUAACCGACACGAUAAAAGGUUACUUCUCCAUGGCACAUCCGAACUGCAAAAUGACGCCCCACUACGUCAGAAAGACGUGGUUCAAAAUUUACGCUGUAAGUUCUAUUAAUUAAAUAUAUAUCUUUAAAUUUUUUUAUUAUUUAUAUAUAUAUUUUUUUCUGAAAAACUAAUUAUAAAUUAUUUUUUCCAACAGCAAAAAUAUAAUUGGGCCUUCGGGAUCACUGAGAGGGUGAGGAAGAAGUUUGAAGCGAAGGCGAAAGUUCGCUUGUUGGACACGGUCUCCAACUGGAAGGGUGACUGGAUCGUGAAGGGGUAUGAGCGUGGCAAACCCGCUGAGCUCACCACGGAUGUCUGGGAUGGCCUCAUCCGAUAUUGGCGUCUUCCUGAUUCCAUUAGAAUCGCCCAGUCUUGCUCUAACUCCCGUAACACAGUCGAUGAGCACGGGAACGGGCCGAUGCUUCACACUACGGGCCAAAAACCCCACGCUGGUGUCCGUUUGGAAAUGGUAAUUUAAAAUUUAAUUAUAUUAAAUUUUUAGUAUAUUUUUAUAUAUAUUCUAAUUAACAACUUUCUUAAAUGUUUUUUUAGGCCAAAGAGACGGGAGAAUUCCCGUCUCUUAUGCAACUUUACGAGAGGACCCACAAGAACAAGGCGGGCCGAUUUAUAGAUGGCAAGUCCGAGCAAAUCUACAACGAUUUGGCUGCUCGGGUUGAAGAACGCCAGACCCAGCUGACCCAACAGUCCACCGAUGGAUUACCCGUCACCUUAUCCACACCUGAAGUGGAUAAGCUUUACGAGGAGGUAAAUUUUCUAAAAUUUUAAUUUUUUUAAAUAUUCAUUUAAUUUAACUUUAAAUUUUUACUAACAAAAUUUAUUUUUUGUUUUUAAGGUUGUCCCUAAAAAAAAGGGACGGACGUUGGGGAUUGGUUCCGUCAACGAUGUUCCGAGAGCGACAUCGUCUUAUGUUCAGCGACGGGAUGAUGAAGUCUCUCAGCUGCGUAGGGAGUCCGAAGAGCUGCGUAGAGAGUCUACUCAGCUGCGUAGAGAUUCUACUCAGCUGCGAUCUCGUAUGGGUGGACUCGAGGGCUUCUUGGACGUUGUAGCGGCCACAAAUCCGGAAUGGGCGACUUUGUUGAGGACCAUGCGACAAGAAAAUCCUAUCCCAGGCCAGUCACCGACCGACGACUCACAUGCCGAGGCGGAUGUUCAGGCGAGGAGUGAUGAAUUCUACGAGGCGAUUAAUUAACGACCACCCAAGUUCUUUUUAAUUUCGGUUCUUGUAUUAUGAAUUCAAAACUUAUUUAUAUAUAAAAUAUUUUGGUUUUGAUUUUUUUAGAAUUUAAUUUUAUUAAUAAUUUAAAUAAUUUAAAUUAUAUUUAUAAUUAUAAUUUUUUAUAUUUCUAUAAAAUAAUGAAACGAAGUAAAUUCGUAGCUAAUUUUGCGGCUUCUUUACGUGGAAGCUUAACGUGGUUUUUACGAGGAAACAUUUACAAGGAAAUAACGUGGAAAUCUAUCAAGGUUUUUACGUUUUCUUUUCGUGGAAAGCUGUCAAAGUAUUUACGUUAAUUUUACGAGUAUUUAUUUACGUGGGUUUUACGAGGAAUGUUUUUCGUGGUAAUUACGAGGAAACUUAGCGACGUCCUUACGAGGAAUCUUUACGUGGUCUUUACGAGGAAAAUUAGCGACGUCCUUACGAGGAAUCUUUACGUGGUCUUUACGACGAAAUAUCCUCCUUCGCUUUUACGACGAAAUUAUUUCCUCGCUAACUUACGACGAAUUAGCGAGGAUAUAUGCGUUACGACAAACAUAUAACGACGAAACGGGUUUCCUCGCUAAUUCGUCGUAACACUGCUUUUACGACGAAUUAGCGAGGAAAACUGCCCUCGUAAAACUUGUGUUUUCUUGUAGUGUAAGCAUAAACGAUGUCCAUUCAGCUAUGUGUGACUUUUCGCGAGUUUGGUCCAACACGUCUUGGUUUGUGAUGAUCUCCAAUAAUACAAUCCCAAAACUAUAAACAUCGCUCAAUUCUGUCAAUCGACCUGUUCUGUAACAUCUAGCAAGGCAAAAAACACAGAGUAAGAUACAUGUGUAUUCAUUUAAACGAUGAAGAUGAACAUUGUCACAAAUUUUACAUUUGUGUGCAUUAUUAUCUUAGACUUUGUUUUAUCACAUCAUGGUUGUACAUAUAUACAAAGUCAUUCUGCAGGUGGAGUAAAUGAGUAAUAAUACUUACUCAGGAUCAAGAUAUCCAGGAGUUCCAGCAACGACUGUCGGAACAUGAUAUUCACCUCCAAGUUGGACCGACCUUGAAAGUCCAAAAUCCGCAAGUUUGGCAGAGAAUCUCUCAUCCAACAAUAUAUUUGUACUUUUGACAUCUCUAUGCACCAUUGGUGGCCGACAUCCAAUAUGUAAGUAUUCUAGUCCUGUAAACAUUUGAAACUCCCCCUUUUACUUAUUUUUGAUUCUAGAAAUCGAAAUUACAUAAUAUAAAUAAUUUUUAGCAAAUUUAUUCAUAUAUUCUAGAGUUUUAAAGCUGUCAACAUGGUCAUUAUAUCAAAUUGGAAUAUAGUGUUUCAUGUAAAAGAGAACAAAUUGAUCAUUACUUUUAAGUAAAAAAUAAGAACUAUUUACUAUUUAUAUUUGAAUCAUUUAUGUCAAUUGAUAACAUGAAACAUGUAAUUAAAAUGACAAGUGAAUGACAUUAUUACGAGAUAGUUCCAACCUAGUGCGGCGUCCAUGGCUAUUUGUAGUCGAGUACUCCACUUCAGAACAGAGCUAUCGUGUUUACCUAUAACAGAUUGUCAAAUCAGCUAACAUGUUAUUUUCCGUAUAAUUUAGCUAAAAAUGCUUAUGUCAUUUAUAUAUUAUAUUUUUCACCUGAUAAAUGAUGUUUUAAGUCUCCGUUGGACAUGUAUUCAUAUACGAGAGCCAAAUGACCUCGUUCGUCGCAGUAUCCGACAAGGCUUACCAAGUUUACGUGGUGAACCCUCAUCAAAAGUUCGACCUAUAGAACAAUGAAAAAAAAUACAUAUAACGCAUUGGUUAACAUAUAUAGAAUUACGACAAUUUCUUACCUCUGCCUUGAACUCUUUAUAGCCUUGUGUUGAUGACUCGGAAAGUAGUUUGACAGCUACUUGUUGUGAACCAUUUAUAUCACCAUGAUAAACAACGCCAAACCCUCCUUCACCAAGUGGUCUUGCCAAGUUUUUUGUUAUUUCCAUCACCUCUGAAUAAGUAAAUUUUUUCUUUUUCACCUCGAUCGAUAUUUCAGAUAUAUUAGUGGAUGUAACAUUCGCACCCAGCUUAAUUGGUAGUGGUUGUAGCACUGUAGAGACCAAUGUUUAGUACAAUAAUAUUAAAUAUAUAAUAUGAUAUGAGUUUUAGCGAAUACCUUCUGAAUUUGAUGAUUUUUUCUUCUUAAACAAAAAAAUAAGAACUAGAACAACUAUAAUGGCCAUGACGGUAGCCGAAGAAACAAAUGCAACAGUUUUUACUGGAAUUUUCUUCUCUGUGACUGUGACACAUAAACCAGAUAAACAACGAUGCUCUCCAUCAACACUAUCCAAAAAAAUGAAGCCGUUAGGAUUCUGAAUGCAUGUGGUGAAGUAUUCAAAAGAAAUGUGGGUGGGUGGAGUUUCUUCUUACAAUAGCUGUAGCCCUUCUUUUUCUCUAUCAAGAAGGGCUUGUGGGAUAAAACCAAUAAGAUUGUUCUUGCUCAAAUUUCUGUUAAACCAGAAGAUAUAUCAUACAUAUAGGUGGACAUGAUCCCAAGAAAUACAAUUACCAAGUAUGUCCGGAAAAGCUUACAUGAGCAUUAAAUACUUCAUAUUAGCCAGAAAUUCUGGAACAUCUCCUGUCAGAUUAUUAUUUGACAAAUCCCUGAAAUUUGUAAGAAUCAAGUCACUGGCAUUUAUGAAUUUCUUGUCUCUUAAGUAAAAUUUAUCAUACUUACAAUUUUUCAAGAUGGGUAAGAUUUUGAAUUUCAGCUGCUAUGGUUCCUUCCAACCCGCUGGAAGAUAAGUUCCUGUGUUACAGAAAAGGUGUGAUGUAGAUAGAAAAAUUUUUCGUGCAAUUCUAAAGAUGUUGUGCUAUAUAAAUAUCUUACAAAUAAGUGAUGCUUGGUGGUGUAGAUAUAUCUGUGCUGUUGCAAUUUAGAUUAUCCCAUAAAAACUUCUGCGGGACGCAUGGAUCUCCUUGCCAUGCGAUUCUGUUCAACCCAUAUAUGGCUUUGAUUUUUCGGAUAGCAACAACUGUCAAGAGUACAACAAUAAAUAUAUAUGUUGUAUUUAGCAUAUAAGCAACGCUUUCAAAAAAAUUAUAUGUAUAUAAUUGUGUAUAUAUGGAACCUUGCAUGGGUAGUAAGCGUACCAUCAUUUUCAUUUGUUUCCAGUUGUGGGAAUUCGACGACUGCGUAAAGUUCGAUGGCAUUGAGAAGAGGUGGGAGAGUAGAGUUUGUAGUUCUUAUCAGCUCUAAGUUGCAUACUCCUCCUUUGCAAGUAACUGGUGUAGUGGAGUAAAUUGUGGUGGUCUUCAAAUAUUCAGGGCUUAUCGUUUUGUCAAACUGUCGUUGGCCGUUCCAAAAAAUAUCAAACUCUCUAGAUUCACUGAUCGGUAAUGAUUGGACCUCAGAGAAGUGGAGGUACAAGUAAAUUUGGUCGUCAGGGAAAUCGAGCUCCUCCGUGAUAUUGAACCGUGCAGUAGCAUUAGCAGGUAUAGCUGCGGUUUUGAGAACAUUCCGUGGCACAAGAAAACCAUUGGAGUUGUUUGCUUCGAGGGUGGUGGAAAUCUGCGUCCAUUCUGGAUCAAACUUUGGUUCCCAUAUUCUGUCGUUGACGUCAUUUGGGUACCUGUGAUUCAUUAAAUAUUUUAUUAUUACUUAUCAACCAGGUAAACUCAAAUGAGGAAAAAAAACAACUUAAUAUCAUCUUAAAGCGACUUACGAUAGAAUGGUAUCGGAACUGGUAAGAAAGUAUCGCUUCAAACUCUUCAGGGAACCAGAUUCAGUGAUGUAAAGAUCAUUCGCUAGCGGCCUUAGUUCUACAGAUGUAAUCAUUGGCGUAGUCGUGCCUGUCUUAACAAGACACAAGUCCAAGGAAUUUGAUCUUGGAAUGUAAAUGAUCUCCUCGGAUUGACCGCUUAUCCUAUUCUCUAGGUCUAUCGUUACCCAAUAGUUAGGACCAACGUAUAAGUCAUACUUAGGAGUAAUAUUAAGAGCGUCAUAAUUUCCAUAUAGAGCUGUAACUCUCAUCAGAUAGUUGGUCCCUUGCUUCACACUAAGAUUGUAACAGUUGCGUAUUCCAUCUGGAAAGUAUCUAAGAGUCACGUACGACUUUAGUGUCUUGGGUAGGCUUGCAUCAAUCUUCCCAAUCUUUCCACUUUGGAUGAAGCCCGAGUCUGAUGAGUACCAUAGUCCAGUAUCUGGCUCGAUAUAUGGUGACGCUUCACUCGGGGGUAAACCACAAUCCAAACUGAUGAACCCUAUUCGAUAGCAUCAUCAGUUAAUGGUCACUUCAACUAUUCGAGUGUUUCACACUUUUUGCUUCUAAAUUUUGUUCACCUUAAGAUUUUUCUUGUUCUAUUGAUUCCACUAUUCCAUGAUUCAACAUACCAGUCAAGCUUUGAGUUAAAAAUGCUAAUCUUCUAUGGUUUUGUGGUAUUUACUUUAACAAAGACCUAGUAUUGUAACUGCUAAUUGUAUCCUUGUAGUUGAAUCCCUUCCAUGGUUCCAUAAUCCAUAUAAAUUCCCUUUCUCUUAAACCGUACCAUCACUCCACUAGUUUGUAAGUUAGAAACGUUUCAAACUGUGCAAAUCUAUCAUAUGAUUAUUUCUUUUGUUAUAGUAAUCUAAGAUAAUCAUUGUUGUGCUAAAAGUGACAAUUUUCUACUCUUUUUCUUUUCAACCACAUGCAUUGUGCAGAUUUUAGUUCAGGUAAUAGUAAUUUUGUACUGUGAAAAUUCUAACGUAUCUCAAAAAAAAAGAUACAUACCUUCUUGAUCUUCAGCUCGAGAAAGGUGAAUAACAGCGAACGUCGCAAUAAGUGCGACCAACAAAAUCUCAUGGGAAUUCUCCAUAUGCUCUUGCUUUCCAAGAAAAAAAAAGAAAGUCAGAAAAGUUCUUAACUGUCGAUAUUUCAAGACAAUCCCCUAAAAUCGUGCGGACAUGUCAUAGUUUCCUCUUUCCACAAAAGAAGUUUUACUUGACGAAGGAGAUAUAUGAUCCGUUCUGUAGAGGGGAAACGAAUGUAUGUUAUUUAAUUUUCUUGGUCAGAAAAUGCUUAACGUGUCUUGAAUUUCGAUUAUUAAAGAACCUACCAAUUGAAAGUAAUAUUUUUUAGCAACGAACAUGGGCAGUGGUGAAAUGCACAGACAGGUAUGGUUUCAAGUCGUCGUUGACUUAAAUUUGUCCGAUGUUAAAUCUGUUUAGAGCAUCAGAGGUUUCAAGUAGAGGGUGUCCACUCCGGUUUUAUCUUGGCUUAAGUUUGACUUUUAUGUAAAUGUGUUGCAUUAUUAAGAGCAUCAUUAUCAGUUAAGAAAUUGUGAGAGCUUCUUAGGAAUAUAAAAAUAUUUUGUGUACAGAUCAGCUAUUUAAUCAAUUUAAAUCAAAAAUAAUAUAAAACUUGUAAUACAAGGAAAGUCUAAACAACGAACGCUUUUUCCUUUGAAAGACUGGUUUUUCUGUCUUCUACUUUAUUUUAUUUUGUUUCUUUCUUAUUUUUGAUUAUUUUAUAUUUUAAUAUCUGACAAAUUCAGCUAGAUAAAGCAACGUAGGUGUUCUCAAGAUAUGUUAGCAUUUUGACAUACAGAUUUCAUUUGUUUGCUAGUUUAUAAAUGCAUUUCGAAUGUGCAUAAGGCAUGCAUACUGAGUCAAUUAUUUAUUCCUUAUCUCGGUGCCGCAGUCACUAGAAGGGAUGAAAGUUGAAUAAAAUAUCCAUUGAAUAUAUUAACAUCUUUUACUUGACUAUACAGAGUUAUUUAUCCUUGACUAAUAUGAUGCAGAUAAAAGUUUAUAAGUGCUUACCGCAGUGUGAUCCAAGUGUAUUCUAUGAAUGUCACAAAGUAUUUAUGUUGUUUUUUAGAUGUACAUGGAGAAAUCCACAAAUCAAAACAAUUUUCAUAGAUAGUAAUAGAUUUAGGAAAUAUCGACUUGCAAUGUUUUCAUAAGAUAUAAACUUCACGUUCAUUCUUAAAAGAAAUAAUAGGCAACAUCAUGUUUAAGACAUGAGAAUGAGGAUGACCUAGUCUAGCAUACUUCUUUACAGAAAUCAAAAAUAGAAUUUAAAACAAUAGAUAAAUCAGAUGCAAGCUUGGUGUCUUUAAGUAAGUUCAAGUCUAUUUUGGUUUAUACUUUUUCCAAGCAACCUACUAGAAUCAAUAUCCUUAAAGUAGACAUCAUAAUAGCAAUUUAAAUCAGUAGUUACUCUUUUAACAUAUAACAGGUUUGAGGUGAAAGUAGGCAUAUAAAAAGCUUUAGAGUCUUUAUCAAACAAUCUAAGAUCACUUAUUCCUUUAAUUGGUACACUUUUUCCAUUAGCUAUCAUGACAUUUUCUAAAGCAGGGACUAUGUUACUAAUCAAAUUUAGAUCACUGACCAUAUGGUGACUACCUUCAGAGUAUAUAACUAAAGGUUUUGUCAAUCUAGAACUAGUUACAACAUUCACAGCAGUAUCACAAGUUGAAGCAUUUAAAAAGAUACAAAAAUUGUUACUAGAGUUUUCCUUGAGAACUUUGUUGAGAGCAUCAAGGUCAGACCUCUUGAUGGUUUCAUUUUGAGUGGUCCUCAAUCUGGAGUAACUUCUCGAUGGUUCACUCCUUUCACCAGAAAAGUGUGCCCUUGCAUCAUUUUUUGGUGUUCUUAACUUUUGAGGUUUGAGGUAAGUGUGUAGUAUCCAACACUUGUCUUUGUCAUACCUCUUCUUCUUGCGAUGAUCACAAACUCAUAUUUAUUGUCUUCAUGUUUGUAGGCGUCAUUUUUGCAACACCCUCAGCUUGAUUUGCCAACAUCAGUUCUUCUUGCCUCCAAAGAGACCCACUGAACCUUGCUCUUUCUGGAUUUAUGCACAUACUUCUUCUAAAGUUGGUAACUUCUCUGCCUUUAACAUGUGCUUGAUCAAGUCAUUGUAACCUGACCUUGAGGUUGAUUGUUUGCAGUUUUUGUUUUAGUUUUUGGUUUUUGGUUUUGUAAAAACUAUUUUUUAUCCAAUCAAGUUUUUAGCUUUUAGUUUUUGUUUUUGUAAAAACCAUUUCACUUGCCAAUCAAGUUUUUUAACAAAUAGAUUCCCUAAAUUUUAGGGAAACUAGUUUUUCAAAAUUUCAACCAAUUUGUGAAGAAAAGCCAAAAACCAACUUUUGUGGGUUUUCAAUAUAAAAACGAUUUAUUUUUAUUUUUAUAAAAUACUAUAUUUUAAUUAAUUAAUAAUUAAGUAAAAAAUGUUUUCAUAAAGAUAAAAUUCCCAUACAAUUUUUUUAUCAUUUAACAUUAAUGUAAAAUAAUUUAUGUGUUUCAUAUAUGUAAAUAAAUAUAGAUAAUUUUAGUAUUAGUUGUAACCAAUUACUUAUUAAUAUCUAUAAAUAAAUUAUUGAAUAAUUUAAUUAUAAAUACUAAACAACAACUAAAAAUUAUAAAUUUAAAAUAUUUUAUUAAUACAAUAUAUUAUAUUAAUUUGAAAAAAUAGCCAUUCAAGUUCUAAAAAAUGAAAAAUAUUUUAUGUAAUAAAAUUUAUAAAUAGUUUCAAAAUUUUAAAAUAUUUUAAUUUUAAUAACUUAUAGAUAUUUUAUUAAUUAUAUUUAAGUAUAACACUUAAAAAUAAAAUAAUUUAAUACAUGGUAAUGUUUUUAUUUUAAAUAACAACCACUAUAUUUUGAUAAAUUUUAAUGGUAAUUUUUAAAAAAAAUAUUAUUUUAAAACAAUGUAUUGCUUAUUUUAUAAGAAAAACUAAGAAUACAGCAAAACCAAAAUCUAAAAACCAAAAACCAAAAGCUGAAAAUCAAAAACCAAAAUCUAAAAGCUGAAAACCAAAAACCAAAAUCUAAAAUCAAAAUCUAAAUCUAAAAACCAAAAACUAAAACCAGAAACUAAUGGAAACAAUCAUCACCCUUGUCUUGCUCAUGCCUCUCAUUCAACACUCUAGGCUCAACAGUACACGGCCUCAGCAAUUCCAAAUCAGCCCACAAGGCCUUGAACUUGCCAAAAUGCUUGUUGAAAUAUGUUUUUUCUUGACCGGGGGGGGGGGGGUGGGGUGUUGAUAGCUCUCUUAACUUCAAACACUUUGCUCUUAUUUGAAUUAUACACCUUUUGAAGAGUGUUCCAUAACUCUUUGGAAGUUUCACAGUAGGAGUAAGCUUCCAGGAUUGAUGUCUCAAGGCUACUUUAAAUGAUGGACAACGCCAUGAGAUCCUCCUGAUCCCAUUUUCCAUCGCCAGCCAACACCACUUCUUUACCAUUCUCUCCUAGGCUGGUUUUCUUUGAAGGUUUUGUCAUCUGUGACAUAUGAUCAGAGUCCUCUUCCUCUUAAAGAAGUUUUGACCAGUCUUGACCACAAGAGAUAGUUAACUCCCUUGAGAAUGACUGGAAUCACCACCUUUGAGUUUUUCAUUUUCGAGCAACUAGUAUCCAGUGGAUGAACGAAAGUUUCAAAAUUGAGAAAUGAAAAAUCAGAGUAAAAGAAACAAAAUUUGCAGAAGUAAUAGAAGGGAGUGAUGAAAAUAAGGUCUCAAGAUCUGAGAUGCUCUGAUACCAUGUAAAAUUUGAUAGAAUUAUGAGAGUUUAAAUGAAGAACAUGAAGAACUUGCAAAAACAAUAAACAAAGAUGAGAACUUUCAAUAGAAAGAAAAAGAGAAUGAGGAAAGAUGAUUUCCUUAAUGUUUACAAUGGUGACUAGAAGAUUAUUAGUAUGUUUAUCUUUUCAGGACAACCAAAACAAUCGAAGUUACCGAGUUACUGUUUGCCAAAUUACUGUUUGCCAAAUUACUGUUCACCAAGUUACUGUUUAUUUUAAUUUCUUGAACUCUUUUGAAUUCUCUUGAAUUUUUUUCUCUUGUUAUUUAUUACUUCAUGUCAACAAAAUGAGGCUGAGACAUAGAUCAUGCUUGUGGUACAAACUGAAGAGGCUUGAUAUCUCAAGACAAAUAACUUUUCCAUGUUUUUUCUUCAGAUUUUCAUGACAGCAUUAUUCAGAAAUACAGGAAAUACACCGGUGGAACAGAGUCUAAGCACUGACUUGUGCUCUGCUUUUCAUUAAGCGCUAAUAUUUGACAAAGCAUUAUUAACUUGAGCUUUUUCUGCCUUUUGGGCAUAAAUGGUACGUAUUAAAACUUAGCACUUUUUACCUUCUACAAGGUAUUUAAAUAGGUGAGAGAUAAGGUUUCACAACGUGAUUAACUUAAGAGAAUAAAUACAACAGAAUUACUCUAUCUAAGUUAGAAGAAACCUUGACAUACGUAAUCUAAUAUUUUAUAAUUUCCACAUAUGCAUAUAUAGAUGAAUCGGUGAAAGUCAUCCUAGAUUUUGACUCAGAAGAGUGAACGGAUUUCGUAAUGCGCGCAAGAGGGAUAGGAGGAGAGCUUUUUCUUAAUAAAUAACUUCAGAAAAUAGAGUUGACAAAGUAUACACGUUAAGUUGAGAAAACCUCUCAAAUUUUUCUCCUGACUUGGUAAUUCUUUAAAAUAAAAUAAAAAUAUAUAAUGAUAAAGAUAAUUAAAAAGAUAUAUAUAUCAAACAUCCUAAACCUAAACCAAAUGUUCACAAAACUGUUCACACAAGAAGUUUGAAGUACCCACAAAAAAAAAGCUUUAAUGGCCUCCAAAUGCAUAGACAAUGGUGUAAAGAACGAAACCGACGUCCUCUCCGUCGAGAAGGUGACGAGUUACACCAACCUCCACAAGUGGCCGAUGGCAGAGGUGGAGUUUGUUCAGUCAAUCAGACACGGCAAUAGCCAGCAUCAUACCAUGGUGCUGAACAACAUUUCUUGUAGGCAAAUGUACCUCAGAAGCUACACUUUCACUAGAAAAGAAAAUGAAGGCGAAGGUGGUCGAGGUGGCGGUAAGACCGGUGACCAGUGGAACAGAGGAGAGAAAAAGAAGUCUGCAGAGACAACGAAGAAAGGUAUGAGGAAAAAGAGCAAAGCAACACCUUGUAGGGGGUUUGUUUUGAGGCUCUUAUGGAAGUGUUUUUCUUGUACUUCCUCUACUAAAGUUAAUAUUGAUAGCUCUCUUAACUUCAAACACUUUGCUCUUAUUUGAAUUAUACACCUUUUGAAGAGUGUUCCAUAACUCUUUGGAAGUUUCACAGUAGGAGUAAGCUUCCAGGAUUGAUGUCUCAAGGCUACUUUAAAUGAUGGACAACGCCAUGAGAUCCUCCUGAUCCCAUUUUCCAUCGCCAGCCAACACCACUUCUUUACCAUUCUCUCCUAGGCUGGUUUUCUUUGAAGGUUUUGUCAUCUGUGACAUAUGAUCAGAGUCCUCUUCCUCUUAAAGAAGUUUUGACCAGUCUUGACCACAAGAGAUAGUUAACUCCCUUGAGAAUGACUGGAAUCACCACCUUUGAGUUUUUCAUUUUCGAGCAACUAGUAUCCAGUGGAUGAACGAAAGUUUCAAAAUUGAGAAAUGAAAAAUCAGAGUAAAAGAAACAAAAUUUGCAGAAGUAAUAGAAGGGAGUGAUGAAAAUAAGGUCUCAAGAUCUGAGAUGCUCUGAUACCAUGUAAAAUUUGAUAGAAUUAUGAGAGUUUAAAUGAAGAACAUGAAGAACUUGCAAAAACAAUAAACAAAGAUGAGAACUUUCAAUAGAAAGAAAAAGAGAAUGAGGAAAGAUGAUUUCCUUAAUGUUUACAAUGGUGACUAGAAGAUUAUUAGUAUGUUUAUCUUUUCAGGACAACCAAAACAAUCGAAGUUACCGAGUUACUGUUUGCCAAAUUACUGUUUGCCAAAUUACUGUUCACCAAGUUACUGUUUAUUUUAAUUUCUUGAACUCUUUUGAAUUCUCUUGAAUUUUUUUCUCUUGUUAUUUAUUACUUCAUGUCAACAAAAUGAGGCUGAGACAUAGAUCAUGCUUGUGGUACAAACUGAAGAGGCUUGAUAUCUCAAGACAAAUAACUUUUCCAUGUUUUUUCUUCAGAUUUUCAUGACAGCAUUAUUCAGAAAUACAGGAAAUACACCGGUGGAACAGAGUCUAAGCACUGACUUGUGCUCUGCUUUUCAUUAAGCGCUAAUAUUUGACAAAGCAUUAUUAACUUGAGCUUUUUCUGCCUUUUGGGCAUAAAUGGUACGUAUUAAAACUUAGCACUUUUUACCUUCUACAAGGUAUUUAAAUAGGUGAGAGAUAAGGUUUCACAACGUGAUUAACUUAAGAGAAUAAAUACAACAGAAUUACUCUAUCUAAGUUAGAAGAAACCUUGACAUACGUAAUCUAAUAUUUUAUAAUUUCCACAUAUGCAUAUAUAGAUGAAUCGGUGAAAGUCAUCCUAGAUUUUGACUCAGAAGAGUGAACGGAUUUCGUAAUGCGCGCAAGAGGGAUAGGAGGAGAGCUUUUUCUUAAUAAAUAACUUCAGAAAAUAGAGUUGACAAAGUAUACACGUUAAGUUGAGAAAACCUCUCAAAUUUUUCUCCUGACUUGGUAAUUCUUUAAAAUAAAAUAAAAAUAUAUAAUGAUAAAGAUAAUUAAAAAGAUAUAUAUAUCAAACAUCCUAAACCUAAACCAAAUGUUCACAAAACUGUUCACACAAGAAGUUUGAAGUACCCACAAAAAAAAAGCUUUAAUGGCCUCCAAAUGCAUAGACAAUGGUGUAAAGAACGAAACCGACGUCCUCUCCGUCGAGAAGGUGACGAGUUACACCAACCUCCACAAGUGGCCGAUGGCAGAGGUGGAGUUUGUUCAGUCAAUCAGACACGGCAAUAGCCAGCAUCAUACCAUGGUGCUGAACAACAUUUCUUGUAGGCAAAUGUACCUCAGAAGCUACACUUUCACUAGAAAAGAAAAUGAAGGCGAAGGUGGUCGAGGUGGCGGUAAGACCGGUGACCAGUGGAACAGAGGAGAGAAAAAGAAGUCUGCAGAGACAACGAAGAAAGGUAUGAGGAAAAAGAGCAAAGCAACACCUUGUAGGGGGUUUGUUUUGAGGCUCUUAUGGAAGUGUUUUUCUUGUACUUCCUCUACUAAAGUUAAUAUUGAUCCGUGAAGAAAAAUCAUCGUUUGAGAUCUAUGAGAGUUAAUAAAACAAAAUAAACUAUGCAAGUUUGUAAUUGAUGGGUCUUGUUUAUCAGUGUAAGUUUGAAACAGUGGUUCAAGAAUAAAUCGUUGACCAGAGUUUGUUUAUUUAUGAACUGGAGAAAGAAACAGGGGUUCAAGAAAUGGCCCUGGUGAAGAAAGAAAUAAUUCAGUAUAACUGGAACAAUACCGCUGGAAGAUGAAACCUCAAAAUGAUUUAAGAAGAGAAGUAAAACAAAAACUAAACCCAAACGAGAACAUGUAAAAGUAAUAAAACUUCUAAACUUAAAGAGUACAAUUGAAGCAACAAGAGAGUUAAAACAUAAUACUUAGAAACAAAGAACAAACAAAUAUCAGACAACUUCAGAAUAUCAUACAAACUCAUGAGGAGGGAAGAGAGGAUAAAAUAGGAAACUUCUUCAAAAAUACACAUAAGAAACAGCUCGAGCAGACAAAAGACCUGAUGCUUUCUUUCCUCAUUACUACAUGUUUUGCUUCCUUUCCUGUUACAAUAUCAGAACUUUUCGCGCUGUUUUACGGGCAUUAUCACUGUUCCCACCCUCUCAUCAUCUUCCUUCGGAUUUCACAAGUUGAGAGAACACUUUACUCAUGGAAACACCAGAGAGAUCAUCAAUGCUCGAUUCCUCAAAUCGUCCCGUGGUUCCCGGAACGUUAACACUCGUGUCCCCUUGACUGAAGUUGUUGAUCUGCGGAGGCAACUCUCCAAUCAUAUUCGUGCUGUUAUCUUCCGGUUCACCGUCUAUGACAGCUUCUUGUAGCUGCAGAGCGUAUUCAAGAUUCCACAAGACAUCUCCCAUAGACGGCCUAUCGACUCCAUAAUCAGCCAAACAUUUCUCACCAGUCUCUGCAAACUUCCUCAACGAAUCUGGUCUGAUGUUACCGCGAAGCGACUGGUCGAUGAUCUGAUCUAACUGCCCUUUCUUCUGCCAUUUCAUGGCCCAUUCCGCAAGAUUCACCAUCUCUCUCGGAAGCGUCGGGUCUAUAACAGGUCUAGCACAAAGAACCUCGAAGAGAACCACACCAAAGGAGUAGACAUCUGAUUUCUCAGUGAGCUGUUGCCUUCUGAAGUACUCGGGGUCGAGAUACCCGAAACUACCUUUCACAGCAGUACUCACAUGAGUCUGAUCAAGCUCAGGUCCGGUCUUAGACAGUCCGAAAUCCGCAACUUUGGCCAUGAAGUUCUCGUCGAGCAAUAUGUUUGCGGAUUUCACGUCUCUGUGAAUGACAGGUUUCGAGUCACCAGUGUGAAGGUAAUGCAAUCCUCUAGCCGCACCAAUGCAGAUCUCAAGCCGCUGUUUCCACGUCAAGCUAGGAAGACCCGAGCCGUAGAGAUGACUCUUCACCGUUCCAUUCUCCAUAUACUCAUAAACCAGUAUCAUCUCGUUGUUCUCAUCACAGUAACCAAUCAGAGAAACCAAAUGGCGGUGACGGAACUGCGACAACAUCUCGAUCUCUGUCCUGAACUCCGCAAGCCCUUGCUGAGAUUUCGGGUUCCCUCUUUUCACAGCUACUUUCGUGCCGUCGUUAAGCUCUCCUUUGUAGACUUUACCGAAACCUCCAACACCGAUGUUGCGGCUCUCAUCGAAGUUGUUUGUAGCGUCUUUAACCGUUGCAAAGGGGAUACGGUAGUUGGCAUUGGUUGUUAUACUUGUAAGCGUAGUUCCAUACGACACUUUGCUUCCCACCGACAUUCCGUUUAUCGAAAACGGCAUCCACGUCUUGGAAUGACCGUCUUGGCCGCGCUUCCUCUUCUUACACAACACAAAACAACCACCUCCCAAGAGGACUAACGCGAGCAACGGACCAACGGUUGCACCGACAAUCAAUCCCACACUCUUCUGCUUGGUACCCGAACUACUACUACCUGGAACAAAUGUCCCGGCGCUGAGCUGGCCUCGAGAGUUAUUCAUCUUCAUGAUCUCCAACCCGUUCACAAUACCAUCGGGAUAAUCGGUGUGGACAUUCGAUGGACCGACGCUAACGCGGAUUUUGUUAGAACCUUUGGGCGAGGGCGUGACGAAGUCCAUGUUGUAUGCACCAGCCAGUGUGUUCACAUAAGUGCUGAGAUCAACGUCCAUGACAGCGAGCAUUGAGUCGACGUAAACAUUGAAGUAGAGCUGGUUGAGAGCUAAGCUCACGAUGUCGCAGAAAUGGAAGCGUAAAUAGUACUGAAAGCCAGGGUCCACGUCGAACUCCCACGUGACAUUGAAAUUGCUAGUAGGGUCGCCUGAGCUAUUAUUCAUCUCAGUGCAAGUACCAUACACGCUGCUCGGCGCAGUCUCCUCUGUUGCAAACCCUGGAACAAAUUUAACCGACAGAAUCUUAGACACCGUGUUGGCUAGAUUCUUGGAAAGCAGAAAGUCCGAAUCAGGCUGCCAAGUUCUUGUAAGAGUGUCGUUGUUAGGCGUAACGAGCGAGCCCCCCAUGUUCAAUCUGUGAACUGUCUCGAAAGCCUGCGUUGACAAGCUCUGUUGAAACAUCCCUGAGCCGCCUACGAGCCUCGGGGGAGGAGAAGAAGCGAUCAAUGCGUCGGGAACGGAUAUAACCUCAAUAGCGUUCACAAAGGCAAACGAAGUAGCAGAGGGAGUAAACGUGAGGAGGAGAUCAUCGGUGUCUACAUUCAAAGAGUACUCUUUUACAACUUUGGAGCCGUUGACUGUGUACUCGCUCAAGAGCACAUGGGUCUGCGUUGAAACCGCGAACUUGGCGGAACCCAUUUGGUAGCUUUGGUAAGUGAAUGGAUUGAAAUGGAGGCGGACCCAGUGGCGGCCACGAGCGACGGAGAAUUUGUAGGUAGCGACUCCGGUGAAGACUCUCGCCGUCUGGUAAACGUCGGAGCUGCUGCUUUGACUCGCGAGGAUCUCGGGUUUGGUAGAAGAGGUGAGUAGGUUGGAGGCGAGCUUAUCGGACAUGAAGACUCGGUCCAUGAGUGUCGAAUUGGCCGGUGAGCCGCAGUUGAUCAAGUAAUUAUCUUGAGGUGUGAAUCCAUGGCAGAUGCAAAUCAAGCACGUCAUCGUUGAAACGAAGAUGAACUUUUCAACACCCAUCUUUGACCCAACAAAGAAACUGUAUAAUAGAUCCGGUGAAAUAUUCAAUCAGAUAGAUUUGCAUACGAACUAGAACCACAGCAAAAAAAAAUGGCAACUUUCUAAGAUCCCCAAAGCAUAAAUUAAGACAUAACACGAUAGAAACUACCUUUUUUAAGACAAGGGAUUGAGGAGAGAUAACGGUCCCAUGAAAGGGCUAGAGUUCAGGAUCAGAGAGCUUAAUCAAUAGAUCAAGAAACCGAAAACUCAGAUUUUGAGCUCUUUUUUUUAAUAAUAUAAUAUGAAAAACUGUACUCGAGAAAAGAGAGUAGUUUCCAGCGAUGAACAGACUGGUAACAGGAGAGGUUUGAUUCUUUAUGAACUCAUGAGUAUAUUUUUAUUUAUUUCUUUACGAGUAAGAAGAUGGGAGAAUUAAAAUUGUCAACAGAUUCAAUUUUCUCUGCCUGUAUUUGUAUUAAUGGAUGAGAAAGAAGAAAAAUAUGGAAUUUCAAGAAAAUGAUUAGAAACGUAAAAUAUUCGUCGCAAUUAAUAUGUCUGUCUAUGAGAAAGCGGUUGUUGGUCAUGGAUAAUUGUUUUUAAUAUGCAAAAUAUGUUAAAAUACAGAGUCCAGAUAUUUUUAAAUAUAUUUAUUUUCAAAGUGUUGCGAAUUUGUGUGUUUUCAUUUUUGUUUUCAGGUGUUUACUGGUCGUGUUUUGCAACAACAAAGUCAACUUUUUAUCGGGAUUUUUGUACAUUUUGACAUCUAAUCUAUUAACACAGGAGUACAAAUAAAUACUAACCUUUAAUUUUUCAAAUAAUUAUAAUUAGGUAUUUUAUCCGCACAUGCGGACAUAAUCAUCUUACGAAUACUUAUUAUUUUAUGUCUUAUUACUCCAAAAAUUGGCAUUAUAAAACUCUAAUUGGUGAACAUGUUGAAGGAAAAAUAUUACGGUGAAUUCUUUGUUCCUCAAAAUUUAUACUAGUUAUGUUGAAAUUUUAGUCAACUUAUUGAAAGGUAGAUCCCACUUUUUUUUUCUUCUAAAUUCCCCAUGGAUGUAUGAAUUUAUAAGAAAAAAAAUUUCUAUGCAAUUUUGAUAAAGAACAAAUUGAACAAAAAUUCGUAUUUUAUUUUAUUUUUUCAAUACCUCAAAUGAAAUUUUAUUUUAUUUUUAUUAUUUUUCAUUUUUUCUUUCUUCUAAUGGUCACCAACAGAAGCUAUAGUGUUUCACGGAUUAAACUUAAACUUGUUUAAACUAAAAACAAGAAAAUUUGUUUUGAACUCAGUCACAAGUUAAGUUAUUAUUUAUGGUUUUAAAUAGUUAAAUCAAACAUCAAAUUAUUUAUAUAUGUCAAACAAACAUUCAUCAAACUAUGUACUUAUUAUUGUGUUAAAAGUUUUAAAACAUUCUUAUAUUAGAAAUAGUUUAGAAAAUAUAUUUUAUAUAACUAUUUUUGUUUGACUAAUAUUUAAUUAUAAACUGUUUUAUAUCUUAGUUUUUUUAACUUUAUAAUAAAAAUAUUGUUUUCAGAUAGCAACACAAUAUAUAUAAGAAUUCUCUUAAUUUUUAAAUAUAUUUUCACAAUUUUAUUAUAUAAGUUUAUAAUUAAUUAUUUAAUAUAACAUAUAAAUUUAAUAUUAUUAAAAUAAAAUGCGUGUUUUAUUAUAUACAAAAUUCAUCACGAGUGUUUUGAAAAUUAUUAAUACUCAGUUAAAAACUAAUAAUAAAUCAAUGACCUAUAUAAAAGCUUAAAACCUAAUAAAAUAUGACAAAUAAGAAAAUAUGAAUUUUAAUAUAACAUAUAGUUUUUAACUAUAUAUAAAAUUCAUUACGGAUAUUUUUAUAAAUUAAUAAAUUAGUGAUUCAGCUAAAAAAUUAUUAAUAAAUCAAUGACUAAGCUAAAACCUAAUAAAAACAUGACAAGUAAGCAAAAUUGACUAAAAUCAUGGAAAACAUGACAAAUAAGCAAAAUCAAAAUAAUUAUAUAUCUAGUUACAUAUUUUAUAGUUAUAUUAUUUAAAUUAAUAAAUUAUGGACUCAACUAAAAACUACUAAUAAAUUAAUGACUCAACUUAAACCUAAUUAAAACAUGACAAAUAAAUAAAAUUACCUAAAAUCAUGGAAAUCAUGACAAAUAAGCUAAAUAACUUCAUAAAUAAUAGUAUAGAUCAUAUGCCAUUAAUCAAAACAGAGUAGUUUUAUACUUUCUCUGAACCAUUAUUUUCCUAACAAUUACACCAUAAAGUCACCGAAUAUAUUUUUGGGAUUAUUAAACCUUUGGCCCAAUUUACAAUCACUAUUUAUAUUUUGUUUGUUAAACACCAAACCGUGGAAACCUAUGACCAGUUAUAUUAUGUCACAAUCACUAUCCUCACCUCGAAACUUUCUUAAGCAUGAUAUAAUCAAAUAUUAUUAUGUAGAAGAAGGUCGGAUAUCAGUAAAAUUAAAAUGUUGUAUAUCAUUUUCAUUAUGCAGACCAACAUUGUGUAUAUUAAUCUAAUCAAUGUAUGGUUUAGCGAUUAAAAGAGUUAAACUGAUUUAUGAUUAUAUUAGUAUUAUUAAAAAUUAGAUUAUAUUUUAUCUGAGUACAAAAUCGAAACUAAUUAUGUUUUUUUUUCCUUGGAAAAGUAAAUAAUAUUUCAAAAACAAUUCCUAUAACCACGCAAUGACAAUUAACUGCAUAAAAUCUAAACUAAAUAUUCAUUUUUCAAAAAAUAAACAACAUCAAAACUUUCUAUCUUUUUUUUACGCAGUCACCAUAUCGAAAAAAAGAUAUCAAUUAACUAACACAAUCAUCAGUUUCUGUUUUAAAAACUUGCACAACAAGUAUUCUUUAGAAUUUAAGACGUAUAUUUAGUAAAUAAAAAAAAUAUAUAUAUAUAUAUAUAUUCGUUUAAUUUUAUAACUACCCUUGCCAAAACCAAGUAUAUAUAUCUCAUCUAUCUUUCGUCAAAAAAAUAUCAAAGCAAACAAAAAACAUAAACAUGUCUAAGCUGACGACUUUUGCUGCUCUCACAAAACUAAGACCUUACAAAAACAAUUGGCGUAGUCAAGUGGAACAUUUACAUUUAUGGAAGCAAAACCCACCUUCUGGAAGUGAAUCCUUCGAGAUGAUUUUAGCAGAUGAAUAGGUAUCUUUUUGUUUAUAGAUUUUUCAAUUCAUUAUAUUACAUAUUUUUAUUUAAAUCUAAUAUGACCGUGUGUGUUUUUAGGGUAACAAGAUCCAUUGUUGUUGGUCUAUCUUUCUCUACAACAGAGUAGUUGGUCUAUAUUACUAAUACUUCAUGCAUGAAAAGUAAUAAAGAUUUCUAAUAUCCUAUGUGCUUUGAACAAUAAUAUUUAUAAAUCUACCAUUUAAACAGAGCUGAAACAGUCAAUAUCCUAUAUGCUCAGAAUAAUAAUAUUUACAAACCUAGCACUUAAAUAGAGCUGAGACAAUCAAGUCAAUCCUACUCCUCUAAUGAAAAAUCGUCUAUUAGCUUCUCAUUUCUUAAGACCUUCUACAAUCAAUCCAAUUUGUUACUCAUUCCAUCAUGUUCCUGGCUAAAUAAAAUUGAAUUAAAAUCAUUCUGCUAAAGAAACCAAAGGAAAUUUUUUACCACACUUUUACAGAUCAAGGGCUUGCAAGGGGGUUUUCCUUGUUUUUUCUAAACUGAAGCCAGGCUCUGUCUAUCCGAUUGAAAAAUAUUGGUAUUCCAUACCUUAGCGAGUCUCUGAAAAAUAAAAAAUAAAAAUAAAAGAAUGUAGAUUAGAAGAUACUAAUCUUAAAAACUCAAAUAAACCCCAAUCAAGAAACUCUAACCUUUAUACCAAACGCUGAAAUUAAUAAUAGAUAUAUCUUCUACAGUUGUUAGACUGAAGACAUUAACUUAUUUUCAUUUUUUAGAAAGCAAGCGCAAGGCAUCCGUUGGCUGCAGAGAAACAUAUAAGAAUAUAGAAGGUCCAUUACACUUUUCUUUCAUAAUAUGGGCGUGGAUCAUUGACUAAAGUCCAUUACACUUUUCUUUCAUAAUUUUAUGGCCCAAUUUAUUAACAUAAAUUAGCUUUCUAAAUAAUAUUUUUUAAAAUAUUUUUUUUACAUUAAAUCUCUUCUUAUGAUUGCAUGUUUUUUUUUGAAACUUGGCUUCAUUAUUAUUAUUAUUUGUCUACAUACCAUUUUUGUUUUUAAGACUCUCAAAAGAAAAUUCAACUUCAAAACUAAAUAUUUAUACUAUGAUUUAGUAAAACCCACGAGUAUACUUAUACCUCUAAUACUUUAUUGUUUAUUUUACAAAAUAAACUAAAUAAAAAACAUAAUAAAAGAUAACACAAUCUCAUAGUUUAUAAAUGAAAGCUAAUCACAUUGAACAAACACACACCAAUGUUAAAUAAAUAUCGGGUUGUGUUUAUUUCAAGAAGGUAAAUAAAUUUUCGUGGAUGUAUGCAGGUCCGGCCGUCUUAAUUUGUUGGACACUGUACAAGUUUUCUUUCUUACAUGAGCAAUAAAAAUAUAUUUGUAAAUAUGACCUUAGAUCUAUGAAAAAAGACCUUUAAUUAUAACUAAACUAAUAGUUGGACCGACCACGGCAAAAUUAUAUUUGUUUAGUUUAAUUUUGCAAAUAUUUUGAUGUUUUUGUUUUUAUUUGCUAUUAUAAAUGUGUUAUGAAAUUAUAUUAUUUUGAAUAUUAUCAUCCAUUAUUUCUGUUGUUUUUAUUUAUUUGAUGAAAACACUUCUUCAUCGUAUGUAUGACCAUUGUUUUUCACACAGUAGUUAAAACAACAAAUAAUGUAUCCGGUUAAUCUUAUUAUACAUGUGAAAAUAAUGUAAUGUUUUUCGAUUUUGUUUGUUUCCAUUUUGUUUAACUUGUACUCUUCUUCUUUUCUUUUCUAGCGAUUUUUUAUUGUCUAUCUCAUUUCUAAUGUGUUAUUAUAAAUAUAUGUGUAGUAUGGGUGGGUUAGAAAGUUAGUGAGUAACAUAAAAACAUUUUAAAAUUUGAUGAGCAUUUGAAAAAGUGUUUAAUUUACUCUCAAUUGAAAACAAUGUUAACUUUCGCUAUUUAUAUUUGCUAUUCUUAUUCGACAUGUUUGUCAUACCUUUAAGAAAAUUUUCCUGUAUAUAUAAACAUAUUCAAUGUUUGUUCUACUUUUACUAUACUAUGAUAACUAGGUUAAGACAUGCACCUUGCGCGGGAUGAACUUAUAUAUAUAUAUAAAUAAUUAUAUAUAUUAUAUGUUUUUACAUGAAAUAAUAAAUAUAUAUUGAAUAAUUAAAAGUCAUUAACUAUUACAUAUAUAAUUAAAUUGGUGCGAACAUAUAAUUAAAUCAAUUUUAUUAAUCCAAACAAUAAUUUUUUUUCUAUUUGAUAGGAUAUGUAAUUAAAUAUUAAAUGAUAUUAACAUACAUAUUAUAUUUUUAAUAUUAAUGUCUAUUAAAUGAUGUUUUCUACUCAUAUGAUUUUUUGAUCAUUUGUAUCUUUUAUAAUAAAAACUUUAGUGAAUGCAUUUGCAUUGACAGGAGGUCUAGUAGAUUGAGACUGUUGAAACUGAUUUUGUGAUGGAAACUGUGGUGUUGAAGUGUUCUGAGCUGGGCCACAAGUAGAAGAAUUCGAGGACCUUUGAUAUAGCUUAUGACCCGGAGGGUAACCGUGAAGAUUGUAGCACUUCUGAACCGUAUGACCAGUUCUCCCACAGUGAUUACAAAUAGGCUUUGGAGGAAAGUGAUUGCCUUGAAAAGCUACAGCAUAGGCUGCAUUAUCUUGAGGAAUAUUGUAGGAAAUAUCAGAAGGACUAGAGUUUUGGAAAGCCAUGCCAACCCUAAUAGAUGGCUUGAUGUUCUUUUGACUUUUUUCUUGAGCUACCAUGUUGAACUCAUCUUCAAUAUCUGGAAUUGGCUACAACAUAAGAAUGUGACGACGUGUAGACUCGUAGGCUUCAUUCAAACUCAUAAGAAACUUAGUAACUCGGCUCCUCUAUUGCAUCUUUUCCCACAGCAAAGCAGCAUUGCACUGCAUUUUCCACAUGUGCAAACCGGAAACUCCACAUAGUUAUUGUACUCUUCCCACAAAGUAACAAGAUCAAUAUAAUAUGUACUGAUAUACAUUGAUCCUUGUUGAAUCUCAUACACUCUUGGAGCAUCAUCAUGUUUAAAACGAGCCAACAAAAUCUUCCAAAUGGACUCAGCCGUCGACAUUAACAAUAAACUUUGUCCAAUCUUCUUUGAAACAGAAUUCAUAAGCCAAGUUGCAACCAUGUUGUUACAUCGUGACCAAGAUCCAGAAUCACGAUGAUUAGAAGGAGGUUUCGGGAUGGUACCAUCUAUAAACCCCAGCUUAUUGCGAACAUUCAAUGCCAUCCACACCGAACAACGCCAUGAAUGAAAUUCCGAUCCAGAAGAUAAGCGAUCGGUAAUAAGAAUCAAUCCAGCAUGAUCAGACGCACGAAGAAAGUAAGGAUUCUCAUACUGAUCUGUUGAUUAAUGAGUAGGAUCAAGUACUGGCUGUUGCUGAUUCGUGGAGCUCAUUGGAUCAAGGAGUUGAAAUUGAAAAUCAAGAACCAACAAUCUGAAGCAACAAUGACUCGAAACGAAGAGAAAUCAGCAAGAAACAACUCACAAAGUACGACCGCAGCUCAGAACGAUUCCACGAGCACCAUAAUCAAGAAAACGUAGGCGAGCCGCGACAAAAGUUCAAUCAAAUCGAUAAGAAAACAAAGUCAGAGAUUGGAAACACACUGGCGAAUCGAUACACUCAUCCUUCGAGAAAUCUGAAGAAGAAAAAUAUUGAGAAUCAAUGGCGGAAGCUUAGUUUGUGCUCUGAUGCCAUAUUAAGAAGUUGUUAUACGAAUGAAAAAUAUUUUCUCAAUCUUGCAAUGUACGUAAACUAAGAGUAUACAUAUUGUUUAGUACAAGAAAGCUAAACCAAGACUAACCAAUGGCUAAGCAAAAGGAAACCUAACCAAAGAGAAAUCUAAUUUAACCAGAUAUUGUAAUAGAGAAAUAGUAUGAAGACAAAAUCAGAUUCAGAAAAGAUAGAAGAGUAUGUUUUCACUAGAUGUUCAAUGUGACGAUACAAAUUUGAGUACAAAUUUAUUUUAAAUAGGAGAGAAUUAUAAAGAUCGGCUCCCAAAAAAUUUAGAUUUCAAAAUAAAUAAGAUCAUAAGAGAUUUUUUUUUUACAGAUGAAGUUAUCUAAUCUAUUAAUUUAGAGUCUUAUUUUUAUCUACUAUUAACAAGUCAUAGUAGGACCACUUAAAUAAUUAGUUAAUAUAACAUAUUUGAUUAUUUACAUUAAUAAAAAACAACUAUAAAUUUGAUAUUUUUUUAAUUAUAAAACAUUUGUUGACAAAGAAUCUAACAAUAUCUUACUUAAAAUUUUAAAUAAUUUUAUAAAAUAAUUAAUUUCGUAAUUAGUAAUAUAAUACUGUUAUAAAACAAGAAAUAAAGCUAUAUACUACUUUUUAUAACAUAUAUAAUUAUAUUCUGUAUUAUAUAAAAAUAGAAGUUCUAUAUGAAUUAAAUAUGACAAAAUUAUAUUAAAUAGGUAAAUUAAAUAUCACUCAUUAUUAAAAUGGGUUUAAAUUCAUAAACAUAUAAUAUUUUUAUACAAAAAUAAAUUUAUUAACAUAGGUUAAAUUUUUUAUAUCUACAACUAUAUAUAUAUAUAUAUAUAUUGUUUUUUUGAAACUCUCAUCAAUAUAAUAGCCCUGUUCUUUUCGUAGCCGCUGUGGCCGGUGGUAGCGACAAAGAAUAAUACUUGGGUGGAGACAAGAUGAUCGAUUUUGAAAGUGAAUUAAACUAUAGGAUCUUGCUGCAGCGACUGAAAAUGAAGACGCUGCUAUCGCUGAUAUUUGUCUAAUUUUGUUAUCACGCCUUACCGCUGCGACUGAAAAAGUAAGUUUGUGUUGUGUCACCGGUGCUGCAUUUCCGAUGGUGAAGGUGUACUUUUCAGUUGUUGUCGCUGGUCGCCAGCGUUCGUAAAAAGAACAAGGCCAUUGUUUAAAAUGUUUAUAUACAAAAAUAUAAUUGUAUAUAAUAACCUUUAGUUCAUAUACUAUUUAAAAAUAUUUUAUUAGAAUGAAAUUUUAGUAAUUCAUUUAAAAUAUUAAUAACAAAUCAAAUUUUAAUUAUAUUUUUUUAAUUAUAACAAAAUCUGCUGAGAAAAAUUAGAAAAUAUUACAAAAAAAUUCAAAUAAUUUUUAUAAAAUAUUGUAUUAAUGUAGUAACAAAAAAAAAUCAUAAUUCAUGUAAUCUUCCAAAGUCAAAAAUAGUAGUGUAAUUUUUCAAAGUUUUCUUGACGAAAUAAAAAAAAUUUGAAAAUAAAUAUCAAACUUAAAAUGAUAAUAUUUUAAAUUUUACAAAAGAUAAAGUCAUAGAUAACAAAGAAUAAUUUUUUGAAAUGCACCAUGAAAAAACAAACUUUGUAAAAAUUAAAGCAAUCUAAUAUUUUAAAAUCUUAAUUAAAAAUAAAUAAAAAAAUCUUAAUAUCAUAACAUCCAAAAAUAUCAUAUAUCAAUAAAAUUUACUAAAAUAAUAUGAUAGAUGCUACUAUAUAUAAAUUUACUAAAAUAAUAGGGUAUAUUAUUUAAACAAAACAAUGUUUUUACUUAUAAAUCCCGUAAAAUACUAAAAUAAUAAGUAUAUAUUUUUAAACACAACAUGUAAAUAUAAAUGAUCUUAAACAUAUGUAUUUUUAUAAUAUUUAUCAAUAAAUUUAAAAAAUGUAUUAUAGCAAAAUGUAUAAAUUAAAGAAAAUACAUAUUUUGAAGUAGGUUAUCUAUUUGAUUAUUUCAUAUUGUUAUUUUAUUGUACCUAAUUCAAAAAUAUAUUAGUAAGUAAUAAAAAUAAAUAACAAAUUAAAAUGUAUUAAACAAAUCACUAUAUAUAUAUAUAUAUUAAUAAUGCCGAAUAAGAAAUUCAAACAAUAAUAUUAUAGAGUUACACAAUAUAUAAUAUUAAAAUGGAAAUUGUAUAUUUAAAAUAUUUGUAAUAAUAUCAAAUACAUUUAUAAAAUGAAAAAAUAUCCGCAAAGACGUGCGGGUUAAAAUCUAGUUUCUAUUAAUGUUGAAAGUUGAAACACUUGUUCACGUAAAGGUUGGAGUGAAGAUGAUGAAGUUUGACUAAGUGAUGGAUGUUUCCAUGAACACCAAAAUGCCAUUGGCUUGAGAUGAGUGACGUCUUAGACAUUUUAAUUGGAACCAACCCAAAAAUGACUAGUUCGGAUCGUAUGACCUUUUUACUCGGCGGUUCCCAUUACUACUCGUGCGUAUCGGUUCGUUUUUGAUUCCUACCCGAAAAAAUGCAUACCUUACAAUAUAAUAUUAAAAAAAAACUCACGACCAUUACUCGAAAAUGGGUUGAAUGGGAAAAAGAUAAACUGUGUUACCACUGUUGGAUAUUUAAGUGAAUCCUUGUAACCAUUAAAGAGAAGCAUUGUAAUUGUUUAGAUGAACAAAUGCAACUGUUUGUGAUUGUAACUAUUAGUGGUAAAUGGUUGCAACUUUUGGCGAUAAACCAUUGUAACCAUUGGUGAUUAAAGCCUUUGGUGAUGAACCAUUGUGACUUUUGUCUAACCAAUGUAACUGUUGGUAUUAAUGGUUGUAACUCUUCACUAACCAUUGUAACUAUUGGUGCUAACCAUUGCAACCCUUAAUACUCUAUAUAAAGAGUUGUGGGCUAUGGAAAAUUAUAACUUGAAUCACAACUUGUAAAACAAGAUUGAAGAUCAAAAACUAAUAGUUAGUAAAAGAGAGAGAAAUGAAGAUUCAUUAUUGUUCGAAGAUUAUCAAAGAUUUUUGAAGAAACACAUAUAAGCACUUAAGUUUUAUUUGUUAUUUUUGUAUCUUAGUCUAUAACAAGAAUGAAACUUUGAUUGUCUUAUCUACAAAGGCUUGGAAUAGGGUCGAAAUAUUCUUUAAGGAAAGGAUGGCGAUUAAUCAUUAUCCAAGUAUAUAGUUCACACCCAUUCGGGUUACCAAACCACAAAUAAUUAACCAACAACCACGAGACGACUUCAACUUACAUGUUAGCUCUUACCACUGAAGGUGAGUUUACAACUCAAACUCGGGUUAGAUAGUCAAACAUGCAAACUACAUUACCACUGGACCACUUUGAUUUUCAUGUAAACUCUUUCAUAUUUAAUAUAUGAUUCAGUAGUUCCCCUUGGACUUGCAAUCAUCUUUAGGUUUCUUGUUAAACUUCUGCUUUCUUUUAAUUAUAUGCAUAAUGUAUCAAUCUCUGACCAAAAACAUAACAAGAGAGAAACAGCGAAGUUUACAGAGUAUCUAAAGAGUUCGGCUUUUAUAAUAUUCUUUCGGUUCAGUUACUUCUAAGAUUUUCCAUUUUUAAUCUACUUUUGAGCCCUACACCAGUUAGAGUCUAUGAUUAGCAGAGACGGUGAGAUGCGGGGAAGUCGGCUGAACACAUGAGUUUUUUCAACCAUUUUGUUCCCACUACGAUAAAUAUAUUUAUUGAGUUCUUUAAGAUAUACACACAUCUGUAUAUAUACCAAUACAAUGUACAUGUAACGGAAGAUGGAUGAACGUGACGGAGCGGAGCGGAGCCGUUUACUUUAAAGUCAAUGUGCUAUAUACAAAGGCCGUUGACGUUCAAUAUUCCACUAUAUGCUAAGUCAAAUAAGUUGAACCUAAACUUAAUUCUUCUUUGGCAUGUUACAUACAAAAAUAUAAGUGACCUGGUGUAAAGAAAAACUAAGUGACCAACAUUGCCUUAAAUAAUUGCUCUAAUUAGUUAAAGAUGUAGCAUAAAAAGAGAAGCAUAAUAUGUAAAAGACUAGUCAGUUUAUUUUGAGAUACAGUUCCUGAACUUUCGAAUACAAAGGCAUUAUAUGUAAAAAUAAUGUAUGUUAAAUUAGUAUUUUAUCUCGGUGAACACCAGAAUAAGAUAAAACCAAAAUCUUCUAUUCUUUUUGGAAAGAAUGUAAAUAUUCCUUUACGUCAAGAUAUCAAAACUGCUCUCGGCAUUUUCAAUGAGGGAGGCAUGGGUUUAUACCUAGAACUUCCAUGAAACUUGGUAAUCCCAACUCGUUCCGCUUGAGGAAUCAUCCCUACCAUGGACAUAUAUAUAGAUCCUGAAAUGCUCGUCUAUAACCUGGUACGUAGGGACACAAAUGAGUGGGAUGUUUCACGACUUCGUCAGUUAUUCCAACUCAACGAUGUAACCCAUAUUCUUGGCUUGAGGCCUAGUCAGACUCUCACACUUGAUGCUUACGUCUCAAACUAUACUAAAUCAGGUGUUUAUACAGUGAGGUCCAGGUACGAGUUGAGCAUAGGUUCUCAUUCGAGAAAUUGAUGAAAAAAAUUGGAGACACCCUCUUAAAACGUCAUACUUCAUCGUUAUAGUUCACUUUUAUUUUUAAACUAAAAAUGGACCCGUGCGUUGCACUGGUUACUGUUUUAAUUUCACGAUGAGAAACUUUUAGUGAAAUUGUAUGAUUUUCUUGCAUAUCUUAUGUGAAAUUUAUUUUAGGAAAAAUAAUUUGUUUUUUCGCAUAAGUUUUAGUUAGUACUUCUAUUUCAAGAGUAAAUACAAAGAAUUUGAAAGUUGAAUAAAACCAAUUAAAUCGAUGUAAACGUCAUAGAUUUUCUUAAGCUCUUUAAUGUUUGUAACUUGCUAUGUUGUUCUUCUUGUUCAUAAAUAUUAUAAUGUUUUCAUGGUAAUUUGGUAAUGUUUAUGUUGCCAUUGUAGGGUUUCAGAAUUAAUUUUGGUGUGUUUUUUUAUCUUUUAUAUAUUUUGGUUUCAUGGUUUAUUCAUUUUUAAAAUAUCUCCAUUUGAGCUCUAUAUAUUUUUCUAUAUAAAAUAGAUAAAUUCCAUUAUAGCGGUGAGUUUUCCCAAUGUACGACUCUGCUAUAGAGUUUCUAUAUUUCAAGCAAAAAAUGUAAUGGAAUGAUAUUUUCAACUCUAUAUUUAGAAACAAAAAUACCAUAUAUGUAUAUUUUCCCUUAAAAGUAUAGGAACUCUAUUAUUUAAUCAUACAUUGAAUCAAAUUCACAUUUAAAGUAUAAUUUCUCCACUUUAGAAGAAAAUAUAGAAAGGUGAAUUGGAAAUAAUCUUAGUUGUUCACCAAUAGAAUAUAUAUUUUUUACAGCAAACGGCUAUUAUGGAUACAUUUAUGGAUCAACAUUUUUAUCAUGUAAUUUAGAGGUAACAAAACUAUUAAUAUUUUAUAUUGUUUGAUACUGCUUUGUUUCUUGUAGCCACAAAAAUAUAUGUGCAUGAUAAAGACUAUGUUUCUGAAUCUCAUUUGUGUGAAUGACUGUUUAAGAAAAUAACUUGCAGUAGCUAUUGUAAUAGACAUGAAGAAAACAUAAUCAUAAAGAAGUUUUUGUAAUUUCCUUUUAAAUAUAUGAUAUUCAAUCAGAUAUAUAGAUUGGAGUCUCGUUUUCUCUUCUUUUUUUUCUUAGUGAUUACUCAAUUUUCAGACUUUGGAUCUACAGUUAUAGUAAAAACUAUUCAGAAAAGAAAGAUACAUAUAACCUUAAAUUAUAAUUUUAUGUAUAGAACAAUUUAAUUACAUAACUAGAAUAAUACCCGCGUUGAAACGCGGAUUGUUUUUUCUUGACUGAACUAAUAAAAAAUAUGUAUUAUAUAUACAAUAUAUUUGUUGAUUAUUGUUUUUUUUUUAAUUAAAUAUUUGUUCAAUAAAUAUUUUCAGUUUGGUUCUAAAAGCGAGUGACUGAAGUUGUAUUAGCAAUUUAGCUAAAUUAUUCAUGUAAAUUCAUUCUCAUAAAAAUAAAUUAUUUUUCCAUUUGAGUUGUUAUAUUAUUAGAAAUACAUAAAUAUCUCAUAUUACUUAUAUGGUUUCUUGAGAUCGUUCAAACUUUGUGAAAAUAUAUUAAUAAUAUUGUGAUAAAGAGAUUUUAAAGAAUCAUCAGUGAACAGUUAUAUUAUCUUUUGACUUAUGAAAUUAUAUUUUUAUUUCUAAGUCGAUCUAAUAAUUUACUGUAAAAAAAUUGAUCUAAUUAUUUAUUUAAAUGUUAUACGUGCAGAUUUAUUAUGGUGACUCAAGUAACUAACUUUUCUUUACUAUUUGAAAUUUAUUCAAAUAAUUUUAAAUAUGGUAAAUUAAGAUUAUCUGUGAUUAACUAUCUGUAUAAAAUCUAACUGUUUCUUAAGUCUUUACGUAAAGACUUAACAAUUUUUCCACAAAAUAUGGUAACAUACAGAUUCUUAACCCAAUCAAUAUCAUAUACUAUUAGUAGAUUAAGUAAUUAAGUCAAUAUUAAGUAUAUUAUGUAAUCAAUGUGUAUAUUAAAUGGUAGGACUAUGAAUAAGUCCAAAACUUAAAUGAUAAUUUUCAUGGUAGAUAAAAAUAUGACUCUAUUUUGAUAGAGUAUAUUAUAUUAUACAUAUAUAAGAUUUUUAAUAAAAUAAAAUAAAAUUAAAUAUUUAUCUUUACAUCAAAUAAGAGAAAAUUCAUUCCCGUUUGUUCUUAAUUAUUAUUUUAAUUACUUGCUACUCACUUUAUAGUAACAAUAUAGACUUGUUUUAUUAAACUGAUUCAGUUUUAAAUAAUUUUCUGAAUUCAUUAUUUCUUGAUGAUUUAUUUUGUUUAUAACAACUUAACAAAAAUGAAUUAUAAAAAAAUAGUAAAACCAAAAAUGUAAUAAGAUGAUGCAUGAAACUUGAUUUUUUUUUUUUACAAAACACCUAUAAAUAUCAGUUAUGUCAAUGAUAUAAUAAUAUAUUUUAAUGACCAAACACUAAAAAUUAUGUCAAAUAGGUGUUUGAUUUUCAUAUGACCAAACACAUAUAUAAAAAAAACAUGACAACAUCUUAAUUUUCAUGAUUAUUUAUGAAGAAUGUGAUAACAAUAAAAUGCUACUAAAACAACUAGGUAAGAAACCCGUGCGAUGUCGCAUGGGAACUCAUUUAUAAAAAAAAUAUGCCACAUUUUAUAUAAUUACUUUUGGAAAAUAUAUGUGUUACAAAAUCAUCAUACAUGCAUUUUUAGAUAUUUUUAUAGGCUACUUGUAAUAAAUUACAAAUAUGUCAGUACCAAUUAGUAAAUGCACACAUAUUUAAGUAUCUAUGCAUUUAACCUAUUAUCGUGAACUAAUUUUUUUAAAAAGCAUAUGCCAUUUUGUAGAACUUGCUAUUAUAUAAAGUAUCUUAUUUUGCUGUCAAAGAAGUUCAUUUGUCAUCAAAGUAUACUAAAAUAAGGAGAAAAUUACAUAUUUUUUAUUUUUCAUGAACAGUAAAGAUGUAUAAUAUAAGUAAAAUGAGAAAUAACCACAUACCAAAUCAAUAAAAAAAUAUUCUAAAUGAAAAAAAAACAUGUGAUCCACAAACCAUAGAAAUGUAUAUUAUAAAUUUUACUUUAUUUUAUCCCUAGAUUUUGAUUAUGAUCUAUUUUUCUACAAACUUGUAGAUUUUUCAUUGUAUUUAUGCAUUUACAAAUGUUAUUUAUGACAUUUCUUUAAUCAUGAUCAAUCAUACUAUUAUAACAUUUCUUUAAUGAUUAAUAGAUAAAUUUAUCCUAAUUAUAUGUUAAUAUUUCAUAAUAGAUUUAAAUUGUGGUAAUAUUUCAUAACACAAAAUUUAUAUAUUAUUAAAAUACAGCAGAAUCAUUUUAAAUUAUACAUCUAUUAUAUAUUUAAAUUAAUAAAAUAAUAUGUAAAUAAUGAGUUUCAGAAACUACACGGAACACUCUUAAUGAUAUAAAUAAUUAUUGAUUUAUUAUUUGAAUUCUUUCAUAUAAACCAUAAUUAGUAAUUUUAAAAAUGAAUUAUAUGACCAUUCUUUUGUUUGCCACCUUUCACUAUUUCAAGUUAUGACCUUUUAUAAAUUAAUCUAAUAAUCUUUCAACUAUUACCAAAAACAAAUAUAAAUACACACAAGCGCUUAUGCAUGUUACGUUUAAUAAUGGAUGCACACAUUGACAUGAACCGGUGUAACCUUUCAUCACACAAAUAAUGGCCAUGGCUUUUUAAUUUUAUUCUUGAUCACUAAACCAACAAACACUAAACGGUUGACCAAAUUAAACAGCAUGCAAUGCAUUCAUUCGGGCAGGUAUGCCAAUCCACUUACGCUUCCACAAAUUUAUUAAACUAUCAUAUUCUAAUCUCAAUGUCAUUCAAAAGGAUAUUGUGUUACCAAAAUUUACAGGCUUUUGUGACAUGAUCACAAAUGAAAAAAUUAUAAAAAAGAAAAACACACCUUAAAAAAAACACCUUUCAUCUAGUAGAAGAAAAUUUAGACUAAUAAAUUCAUUGUUUCGUUUAAGAUUUGUUGCUAGCCAAACACGAAUGACUCUUCUUACAAUUUUUUAUUAAUAAUGUUUCAUUUGAAUAUUUUUUAAAUAUUUUUUUGUCAGAUAAUCUUCUAAAAUAUUUAGAACCAGGCAGGGGCGGACGUAGGUGAAGACGUACGGGGUCACGUGCCCCGUCUCUUUUUUAUUUUCCUUGCAUAAUGUAUACAACUUAUGCAAUGCUCCUCUAAACCUACAACUAAAUCUGAUGAAAUAAAAUUAUGUGCCCCCGUCCAAAUGGCCUCUUACAUCCGCUAUUGGAACCAGGUAACUACACAAAACUUUCUUCGUCACUGUUUUAAGAGUUUGUGAAAGAUUUACAGUAAGAAACUCAUGGACAUGGAUUAUUUAUAGAUUUUCAAAGCUAUAUACAAAUAGUCAUAAUUUUUCAGAUUAUAGGUAAUUAUUUUAAAAUGGUAUCUCUAAAAUAUUUUUUAAAGAGACACAUCAUUACAAAAAAAUACCCUACAUUAAAAAAAAUCAUAUGAUCAAAAACAAAUUUUAAUUAAUUGUGAAAAAUUACAAUAAGAAACUCAAUAACAUGAAAUAUUUAUAGUUUUCCAAGCUAUGUAUGAAUAGUCACAACUUUUUCGAUUAUAAGUAGUUAUUAAAUGGUAUCUUUACAAUUUUUUUGAAUAUUCACAUCUUUUCAAUUUUAAAAAGAUACUUAUAUGACUGGUCACAACUUUUCAAUAGUCACAACCUUUCAACAUAAUUGGAAUUCACAACCUUUGAAAUUAAUUGGGAUUGCUAUUAUUAGUAGAUUACGAAGAAUAGUAGUAACAAAUAAUUUGAAGUUAUAUUAAGUGAAUGAAAAAAAGAGACGUCCAUUGAUAUUAAAAUAGAAAAUAAAGAAAAUCAAACAAUCAUAUAUCAUAAAUUUUAAAAUAUCACUUUAGUCUAAAGUGUUUUUUUUUUUUUAAAAAAAAAAUUGUCGCUCGUUUCUUCUUACUUUUAUUCUUCUAGUUCUUUGUGUUUGUUGUUUCCACAGUUCUUUUCUAUAGAAGUUGACAAAACAGAAAAAAAAAUUCAAGUAAUGUAUUAAGUUACACAUAUAAAUAAAUUUACAAAACAUAAUAUAUAUUACAUUUACUUUUAUUUCUUUAUGAAUUUUUAAAACUUUUAUAUGAAAAUUGAAAUUUUCUUUUUUAAUUUUAUCUCAAAUAAAUCAGUUUCGUCCAUAAUUAUAUGCACAUUUUUGGAAAUAUCUUCCAAUCCUUAUUCCUGUGAGUUUAUUUUGAAUUGUCGACAUUGAUUAUAUUAAUAUACUAGAUUAUCUCCCGUGCUUCGCACGGCUAUGUUCAAUAUGAAACCGAGAAAAUGUUAAAUAUUAAAUUUUCUUUUCCACAACAAUUACAAAUUAUUAGAUAUGAUGUAUCACCGCCUGUGUGGAUCAAUUUUACUGUCUUUAUAUUAUUUGAUAAUGUUAUAUUUUCUUAUUUAGAGCUAAAUUAUUUUCUGUCAAAUAUUUUAUGAACCUAAUAACAUUGGUGCAUUCAAAUUUUAAAAAAUAGGUUGAACGGGGGAGAGGUUACACAAUAAUUUUUUAUAUUAUUUUAAAAUGGUUACAUGUUUGCAAUAUAUUUCUAAAAUAUUGAGAUUAAAUUUUAUUUUUGAGAUUAAAAGUAUGAAUUUUUUUUACAACUAAAAUUUUGAUUUUCAAGACUUGUUUUUAUUUUUAACCACAUUACUUAUUAUGUUAUAUUUUUAGAUUAAAAGUCAUAAAUUGAGAUUUUCUUAAUCCAAUAGAAAACUGUUUUAUUAUUUUAAAGGGUUUAUGGAAAGGUGUAUAUCUAACACUAUUAAUUAUCUUAUGUCUUCGAUUUUAAAAAUCCGAGGAAAUUUGUAAAAGAAAACUUGAGAAAUUUUAAAAUUUAUUACAGAAAAUAAUUUUAAAAUUAAUUUUUUUUAACAGUUGCAGACGUUCAGGUUUAAGCAAAAAAAGAGAGUUGCAAAGACUAAAAAGUAACAAAAUUACUGUUUACCUGAAUUAUGAAUGGUCAAAUAUUCUGCAACUCCAUCUAAUUCCAUUCGUCUUCAACCCUUGCAACCUUGCUCAGAACAUAUCUUAUCCUAAUUUUUCUUUGAUUGCUCACAUCUUCUCAUUCUUCUUUUAGCUUUGAUUUCUCGUGCAUAUCUACAGCAAAUAAAAUAGUUUCAAAAACUGAAUAGUACAAAGAUUGAUGCUUGUUUUUUUUUGUUUACUCAGAUUUUGCAGCAUAAGUUAUGAAACUUAAUGAUAAAAGUUUCAAAUUUAUGUAGAAAAAAAAAAGAAGAUAUGAAGAAACCCGUCAGAAAGAGAUAUGUCUGUAAAAAAUUGUUGUUGAAAUAUUUUACAGUUUGGUGCACAAAAGAGAAGAAACGAUUUUAAUUUUUCAAAUUGAAGUGGGUGAUCGUGGCUUUGAAUGAGGAAUAGUUUAGAUUUAGAUCUAUGCAAUUUUUUUUUCAUUGGAGAAAAUUUAACUGUAUUGAUAAUGUAUUUUAAUUUAGUUUUAAAAAUUAUAUUGAAGCACAAAUUAUGUGUCAAAAUUUGAUUGGCCAUGUGACUUGUGCUUUAGUAUAUAAGAGAUAUGAAAACCAAAUUCAUGGGUGCAAAACUGUUAAACCAAUAUUUUUAUUUGACCUUGCAAAUAAUUGUUUUUUAAAUACUACAAUUAAAAUAAAAUUAUAGAUUUGUAAUUAUUUUAAACCCAUAUUUUAAUUUAGCCUUGUAAAUAAGAUUAUUUAAAAAGAAACACUACAAUUAAAAUAAAAUUAUUAAAAAUGUAAAUAUUUUAAUUUGUAUGAAAAUUAUCUUAAAUUAAUAUUUUUAUUUUGUAAUUAUAUUAAACCCACAUUUAGGAAAAUAAAUACUACUAUUAAAUAAUUAUUUGUACUUGGAAUUUCUUUGUUUACACUUUUGUUUAAAACUUAAAAAAAAAUUACUAUUAAAUAACUAUUUAGAUGAUAAUUGUUAUUUUGCACAUGUCACAAUCAUAAAUAUAUAAUUUUCAUGCAUCGCAAUCAUAUUAAUUAACAAUUUGGAAGAACCAAACUUUAUAUAAUAAAAUUUUAUAAUUUAAUUUAAUUAUUAAUCAACUUAUCUUAUAUUGCUAAUAUUUUAUUUACUAGAUAUAUGAUUUUUUUUAACCGAAUGUAUAUGUUUUAAGUGUCAACGCGCCAAACCCAAAAGGCAAAAUGAUAUACCAUGGAUUUUUUCACUGUUAGCAAAUGUAUAUAUGAGUGUUUUAGGGUAUAUUAUAUUGGUCUGAAGUAUAUUUUAGAGUAUUUUCAGGUACAAGUACGUUUUGGAGAACUUUGGUGAUUUUGGAGCAUUUUGGAGCCAUUUUAAGUGUGGAUGGAGAGCUUCCCAUGGUGCGAUUGAGAUGAUCCUUUGAUACAAGAUAGAGCUAUGAGCGUCGAUCGAUACUGAACCACGAACAGACAACAUGGUUGCGACUCUUGUGCUGACAAGGAAUUAGAAUGGAGACCUGCUUGUCCCCGGGGGUUCAUAUGUGUAAUGCAGCAGGUCAGAAAAUAGAUGCACAUGGGGCUGUAAACCUUGAAGCAUCUGCUUCUGCUGAGGUUGAUAGAGUUCUUCGAUAGAGAACUAUAGUAGAAUUGUCCAGGCUUAGUCAGUUCUAUACCAACAGGUCUACGAUUCAACCUCCAACAAUCCAUGGAGUUGAUAUGAAACCCGCCUACUUCUCUUAUGUGGAUCACCACCCCUUUCAUGGUCUUCCUCAUGAAUUUCCUUUAGACCAUAUUAAGACACUAGAAGAAUUUGUUUUGGGCAUCCAGGAGCAUGAAGCAACCAAAGACUACAUCAUCUGCAAGCUAUUCAAAUAUUCUCUUUCUGGGAAUGCGGUAAGUUGGUUGAAGCUCCUACCACCAGGAUCUCUCACUACCUGGAAUGAUGUCAAGACUGCGUUUCUGACUAAAUUCUUUGAUGAUGCAAAUCCUGGAGAGAUAAGAGAUGAGAUUUGGACAUUCUCUUAGGGACCUACUGAAACAUUCACAAUCUCUUGGGACAGAUUUAGGAGAUACCAAAGGGACUGUCCACAUCAUGGUUUUACAGAGAUUCAGCUGCUGAAAUAAUUCUGUCAGGAUAUUGAUGCGUGAUAUCAUAUAAUGCUGCAUACUGCAAGCGAAGGAAACUUCAAGACAAGGAAACCAGAGGAAGCUAAGAAAUUGAUUGAGAACUUGGUAUCAAGCAAAAUUACCAAGAAUUUGGAUAUGCACAAGAUAAAAUCGACUGCAAUGGAUGGUGACAAGAUUGCUGAGGCCGACAUUGGUUAUGUAUAUGAAGUCUCUUUGGUGGAACAGGCUAUAGAGAAGAAUGAGAAUCAUGACCAUAUUCAGAGGAUAUAAUCUAUAAUGGAAAAGAUCCUGAAAAUUUAGCAGAAGAUGAGUGACCACUUAAAUCCGAGGUUGGAUUUUGUCUACAAGAAGCUGACUGGAAAAUUUGAAGCCUUGGACACCCAUGUCAUGACGCUAGAUACCCAGGUUUCUCAGACUGCAAAAGCUAUGAAGAUGCAAGAAGCUCUGGUUAAAGGGAAAAUUGUAGAAAGUGAGAGGCACUAGGUUGAUGAUAUCUUAGAUAAUGAUUCCAGGGAAGUGAUCGAGUAUGAGAACUUGGAGGAAGAAGCUUUUCUAGUCAAAAUUUUCAUAUCCAUUGGCAGCUCACAUUGGCGUCGAUCGACAUCGUCAGCCAAGCAUCGAUCGACAUCUUCAGCUGAGCACCGAUCAACAAUAUCAGCUGGGCAUCGAUCGACACCCCCUGAAGAGUACAGGAACAGUGAGAAUUUAACGACAUUCAGAAUUUUCUGCUCGACACCCACACCCUCCCAUCUCGUACAGUGUUAAAACAGACGAUAUUGAUCGGCAUCAUCACGACGUAAUCGAUCGACAACAACAGAGGAGCACCGAGCGACAUCAGCAGCCGAGCAAUGAUCAACAAUCUCCUAUGACAUGUCAACUGCGUUUACCAGACCUCGAUGCACACCGCUUGAACAGAACUCAAAACCCAUCUCAGACAUCAGUUUGUUUACGAACAGCAUAAAAGACCAAUCAGCAACCUGCAUAUGCACCAGAGCAAGAGCAAUUGACUCUAGUUGAAACCUCUUUCCUUGAGAGUGUUGAUCGACGAUAUAAACCAGGUGUCGAUCGCAUCAAAUGGACGGACACGAACCUGUCAUGGAACGGCAGGCAACAAAAGAAGGGAUUCCAAUUGGGGAAAGAGUGAGAUCUAGGAAACCCUAUAUUCCUUAACACCUCAGGAGACAAGUUAACAAAGUGGAAUUUGAUGGAUUUCACAAGAGGGUGAAGAGGGUUCUUAAGGAUAUGUCUUUCGAGGUUGCCUAUCAUAAGUACAGACUUGGUAAUUUUUUCAGAGAGAGCAGAGAGACAGAUAAGGACAUUGAAUUGCUAUUCAACAAGGUCAGCCGUAAACCCAAGAGGACACUAAAGAAGGAACAAGAUCCUGGAAAGUUCUUGAUUCCAUGCUGUAUACAUAGCCAGAAUUUUGCAAACGCCCUCUGCGAUACUGGAUCUGCAGUCAACAUCAUGGCCAUCGACACUGCUGAGCUAUUAGGACUAAAGAUGGAGCCUUGUCAAGAUAGUUUCACUUUCUUGGAUAACUCCAAUGAAAACUCAGCAGGAAUGAUCAAGAAUGUUAACAUGGAGAUAGGGGAAUGUAUUAUCUAUGUGGACUUUCAUGUUGUGGAUAUCAAAUCAGGGAAGACAUCUCCACUUAUUUUUGGAAGAGCAUUCAUGGCUACAGUGGGGAAUUUUGUGAUCUCAAGAAGAAUAAGAUGUGCCGGACUAAUGUUGAUGAAACUGUCUUCUAUGAUCCCGUGGAGAAGAAGAACACUGAGGAGUUUAUUUCAUGAAUAGAGAUGUUUGAAGAUCCAGCACCUACAGUUGAUUCAAAUCGCGAGCUUGCAAAACUAUGAUUAGCAUCGUUCGACAUUCAUAUUUCAGCAUUGGUCGACAUUCAGCCUUCAAAAUCGAUCGACACGAAGCCAUUAGCAUCGGUUGACACCAUUCGAAUUUCAGAACAGACCAAGACUGAAAAGUCUAAGUCUAGAGGAAGGAUUAGGAAGAUGAAGAAGAAAAAGAAAAAUAAUGUUGAUGCAGAUUGCGUGUCACUAGUCCCUUCGCAAUGUCAAGAGGGAAGUCUUGAGUAUAGAGUGCGCUGCAGAGGAGGUCCAGAACCUUUUACUAGGGUUAAAGUACUAUGUGAUCCAGAGCUGAGAGAGAAAGGGAAAAUUUAUGCAAGAGCUUUUAUCAACUGCAUCAACAAAAUGAGAAAGAGAGACAUUGAGACUUGUUCUGAAGAAAGUUCACAUUCUCAUCCGGUCCAAAUAAAAUCUCCAAAAGUCAAGCUAAUGACAAAAACAUAAGCUCUGAAUGGAGGCAACCCGUUUUAGGUAAGUUUUAAUUAUUUAUUUUUUAUGUUAUACUGAUUUUCGCAUUUAUUUAUUUCAGAAAAAAGAUGAUGAACAGUGACGAUACUGUAGCAGAGGCAAUGUAACAUCGAUCGACAUUGUAGCAGAAACGUUGAUCGACAUUGUAGCAGCGAUACUGUUCAUCGGCAAAAAUAAAAAUAAAAAAAUAAUUUCUGGUUUUAUUUAUUUCUGAUUUUUUGUGUUAUAUUAAUUUCAGGUAAAAAAAAGAGAACCGAGGAAAAGAGGUUAUAUACCAUUAUGGACCGACACCUGAUCAUCGUCGGUCAACACCACUUCACAUGAGCAUCGUGCGACACCUGAUCAGUGUCAUUCGACAAAACAUCAAGAGAAUCGAUCUAUGGUCACUUAAUUGUGUCUAUCGCCAUUCACAUCCAGCGAGCAGGUAUAUCAUCUUACUUUGUUUAAUUUCAUACUUAUGAUUUAUUUUUCCACCAAUCUUAGACUGUAUAACAAUGAGGACAGUGUUUUUUUUUUAAUCUGGUGGAUGUAUUACUAAUAUUGUGCUUUAUUUUGAGUUUUAUAUUUAUUGAAUUUUAUUGAGUAAAGAAAGGGAUGUGGAAAUUUUUCAAUUUUACUUACUAUCUAACCACUCUCUAGCACCAUUCUUUGAGGUUAUUGACUGCAAGGUGUACUGAAUGGAAAUGCAAAAGUGGAUCACCUGCCAAUAACAUCCAUGCUAGCUAAGAAAGUCCGAAGGAACCAAAGCUGACUUCCAACCUUAAUAAACUUAACUUUCUUGUCUUGGGGCUUGGUUUACAUUGGAUUAGAUUCUUCUGUCAGGUCUGAAAGGUAUAAGUCUGGAAAUUUUUCAUUUUCUUCUCUCCUCUCUUCGGCAUCCAUAAGAAUAAAAGAUUAAAAUGGUUUCAUGCAGUUUAGAGGGGUAGGAGUGUCUCAUGCGACUCCAUUAUUCUUGUCUAAUGGAAUGAUCACACAUUGUUGGAAGCGAGGGGUAGAAGUGUCUCCUGUGACCCCACUAUUCGCCUACACUUACCAAGAAAAGAAAAAGAAAAGAAAAAAAAAUCGAAAAAAAGAUGAAUAAGAUCGACUGCAUUAGCAUUGGAUUUAGGAUAAAAAAGAUUCAGAUAAGAGAUAUAAGAGGAAAAGAAACCAUAAUAAGACUACAUGUGUACUUAGAUACUUACUGGAGUAAGAAUCCACGUGUCCCUUGAUCGAUACUCCAAGAUUUAGCCUACACGUUUAAAUGCAGAAAUAAUGUCAGUAAAAGGGUAUGUCAGACGGAAUCAGCUAAGCAGUGGGCUAGAUGGUUUGUUUGCUAAGCUAAGGUCUAGUACAUGAAGUGCGUCUAAAAUUGGCACUGAUUUGAUGUGGCUUGCAGCAUUGCAGAGGUAAAAGUAGGAAGUUUAAAAUUGUGUGAGUCCUUGUUGUUUUCAAACCUCUUUCACAUAUUUAUUCUUGUUUUGCUUGAGGACAAGCAAAAUGGUAAGUCUAGGGGUGUGAUAUACCAUGGAUUUUAUCCACUUUUAGCCAUGGUAUAUGAGUGUUUUAAAAUAUAUUAUAUGAGUUUGGAGUAUGUUUUAGAGUAUUUUCAGGUUCAGGUACGUUUUGGAGCACUUUUGGUAUUUUGGAGCCUUUUGGAGUCUUUUGAGGUACAUAACUAUAUAGACAUAUCAGAUUUUUAUAUAUGGAUAUAGACCUUCCCACGGUGAGAUUGAGCUGAUCAUUUGACACAAGAUAUAGCUAUAAUAUAGCUUUCCAAUGUCACUGGUUUGAGGUCAAUCCAACGGUUAGAUCAGAAGUUAUGCAUGUUUUACUGAAGUGUGGUUAGUUUGUCUCGCGAGAGAGAGCUGUUGAGGAGAUGAAGAAACGUCGAUCGACGACACAGCUUUGGUGUCGAUCGACGGUGAUGCCAGAACGCGGUCCGAGUAUAUUUGAAGACCGACUAAAGCCCAGAAGCAACCAUAAAUUACCAAGAUGCCCUUGGAUGAUCUAAAACCAUAUUUCUGUGUUUUUAGGCCAUUGUUGAUGGCUACGCUUUCUAUUAUUCUAUUCUAUUAUUUUAUCUUAGGUUUGGAGAGAAGAUCAACUCUCUUUCAGAGAUUGAUUGGAACUCUAUUGGUUUUAUCAUUGAUUUCUUAUCUAUUAUUCAGACUAUGAUUUGUGUUAUUGCUUCCAUGUCUCACAAUUCACCUAUAGGUUUAGGGUUCAAAUAGGUUAUGAAGAACUAGCCCAAAAUAUAGAACUGCUAAGUUGUUAGUGAUAUACAUCAAUAGAAUUGUUCUUACUGCUUGUGUUCUAGUGUCGCGAACUAGAACUCUGAUAUUAGGAUAAUUAGGCGCAAGCGAAAGCAUGGUCUUUUUACCUGUAUUGUGCUAGGAUUGCUAGAAACAAACGGAAAUUGAUCUAGGAAACUUAGUGAACAUAAUUCAAACAUGCUCGGUAAAGCUUGCUGGAAGGAACAUCGAUCGACAACCCUAUAGGUGUAUCGAUCAACAUUUCGAAAGGUGUAUUGAUCGACUAUCCAUUGAUAGCAUCGAUCGAUACUUUUUCCAGAUCGACAAACGACAGUUGAGAUCUGAGAUCCAGAUAGUAGAUAUUCUAAACAAACAGAAGUUGAUAGAAUAUUUCUUAGUUUGAGUUUUAUAAUAUCCAAUACUUAUCUCUAGCUUCUAUACUAUUAUAAUCCUGAUUAUCUGAAUAGAAACCCUAAGUCUACUUAUUGCUCCUUAUUGAUUACAACCUCAACCAAUCAAACAACUGUCUUGUUCACCUUGCUUUCAUUUAUUUACUGCCUUAUAAACCGUUUGUCUAGCUUAACAUUAAUUUCUAAAGUCUAUUGUGUGACCUAGCUCUCUGUGGAUUCGAUCUCUAAAUACUACAACUUGACCUUUUGUUUGAGAAAGUACAAAUCACUUAGGGUAAUUUGAGUGAUAUCGCAAAACAUAUUUAUUUUAGUGAAAGUUCAAAUUUAAAAAUCAAAUGUGCUCAUUUACAGGGCAAAACAUAUUUUCCCAAAUUGCAUAACAUAUUAAAUGUGGCGAGUUAGUUGGUUUUGACACCCUAUCUUAAUCAUAAUUUUCUAAAACAAAAAUCCAGAUCAGAACCGCUGUGGAAAUAUUAUAUGAGCUGGGUAAUCUCAAAAAGUCAAGUCAACUAGAUAUGAACAUACUUCAUUUAAUUCUAUAUAUUACGUCUCUGUGCAUGUAUCUAAGUUAAUAAGCUACGUUGAUGAUGGCGGCGCUUCUUCAUCUCAGCACUCUCUUUUCACUCUUAGCCACAAUCCUUUCAAUCGCAGAAAGUACGUACAAACAUAAAACUCCCCAACAUUGAUUAUUUACUAGCUUUAACCCACUUCAGUUAUUUUUAACUCACUUACAUCGUUUUUUGGUUCUGUUCUAUCAUUAGGUAUAAGCAUUGACUGUGGAUCAACGGGAUCCUACGUUGACUCGAACAAUGUAACAUGGGUCGGAGAUAAAGGCUUCGUCACGACCGGCGAGCCCAUGAAGAUUCCAGACGUCAUUACGAAGCCGAUCAACACCCUGCGGUACUUUCCAACUGGCCAAACCAACUGCUACACCAACAUUCCGGUGACAAAACGCCAGAAAACACUCGUGCGGACAAAGUUUUACUACGAAAACUACGAUGGUAACUUUUCCCCGCCAUCUUUCGACUUGGUUUAUGAUGGGAAACACCGUGAUUCUGUUGAAAUCACUGAGUCUUUACUCAACAACGAGGAGACGUUCUAUUACUCGGAGUUGAUAUUUGCUCCGGCUAAUGAGAGUAUUAGCGUAUGCCUCAUCCGUACGUCUCCAUCCGACAACCCGUUUAUAUCGUCCAUCGAGGUUUACAGCUUAGACGUCGGAAUGUAUGCCGAUCUUGGUCCCAGUGAAGGUCUGAUUACCCGACAAAGAACUGCUUGCGGGGCCAAAGAGAGUAUAAGGUAGAUAUUGCCUUACCUUAACAAAAAAAAAGGUUUGGGGUUUCAUAUAUGCGUAUUUAAAACAUGGAGCUCUAAUUAAAGUAAAUAAUUGUGUACAUAUAAUAAUCGUAUUCUUAAAACAUAUAAUUAUUUCAGACAGGUAAAAUUUUUAGUAUCUAAUUAAAGUAAAUAAUUGUUUACAUAAAUAAUCGUAUUCUUAAAACAUAUAAUUAUUUCAGAGCGGUAAAAAAUUUGUGAGGAGAUUGAGUCCUUGUAACCAAAGUUGGUCCCAACUUGAAAGAGAUAAUGGCAAGGGCCAGAAACUUUUUAAAAAUACCGAUUUAAUUAUUGUAUCUAACUUUCGUGUUUGAACUUAUUUUAGCUACCCGUUAGAUCCUUACGGUAGGCCAUGGUACCCGUUAGGUGCCGAUGAUACACUGGCCGAUCUAACAACCUCAGCCCCGUCGAUAGACAUCACAGGGGCGUCAAACAAGCCGCCAGAGGUUGUUAUGUCGAAGGCAUCGUCAUCGCUUGGGGAAAGCAUAAAACUCUCUAACUUGGCGCUCCCCUUAACCGGUCUACCGGUAUACUUGGCUCUUUACUUCUCGGAGCCUCAGACUCUAGGUCGCACCCAAAGACGGUCAUUCAACGUUUUCUUGGAUGAGACCCAAGUUGGUUCCGGUCCCAUCAUUCCGGUUUUUGGGAAAGCAACUCAACUUGUUUUGAGAGAUGUAGUGGCCACGUCAGGGUCCCAAAUAGUAUUUCAGUCCACUGGUGACUCGGUUUUGCCACCCAUCAUUAACGGUGUGGAGCUGUUUUCGAUAAGUAACAGCCGGAAUGGUGGAGGUGGAGGUGGAGGCCGAAGCCAAAGCAGCGGUGGUAAUAAUGACUUUGGAGGUUAGUCUUUAAUUUUAGUUUUAAGUGAAAUAAUAGUAUAAUAUUGACCAAUCAAACCAUAAACCCCCCAUCACCUUUUGCUUGAAACAUAUUAAUAUAUUUUGUUUCAUAUAAUGGUAAGUUUUUUUUUUGGGUGCAAGUAUAAUGGUAAGUUAGUAACUAAUUAUGUUCGGGAGGAGUGGCAACAUAACUACGAACGUUUUUAAUCGUAGAAUUCCCCUUAUUUAUUUAAUGUGACACUAUUUUCUAAUAUGAAAUGUAUGGAUUGUCAAAAUGAACUAUAACUCAUGAACUAACUCAAUUCAGCUUGAUUUUUCAUGAGCACAAAUUCUAUUUUUUAAGUUCAUUUAAUAAAUGAGUUUAAUGAACGAGAUUAAUUAGAUCACGAAUUAUAUGAACGGUUUUUAUGAACAUGAGCCAAUUCAUGAGCUUAGUCAUUUUUAUACUUAAAAUUAUAUAUAUAUCUUAUGUAAAAAAGAUAAUUUGUAUAUUAUCAUAUUUAUCUUUUAAAAUUAAAAUGUAAAACCAAAUUUUUUAAAGAUAUAUAUUGAAAAUUUAUAAUAAAAUUUUAUAUACUCAUCAUCUCAUAUAUAUCUUUAAAUUUAGAUGUAAAACAAAAUAUUCCUAAGAGAUAAUUUAGAAAUUACUCGUAAUUAUCUUACUUAAUAUUUUGUUUUCAUUUAAAUUUUAUAAAACAUAGAUAAGUAAUAUAGAAAUCAUACUUUUAAUUUUAUAAAACUUAUUUUAAUAUUUUAGUUUAUGAUAAUUAAUUUUUUAUAAUAGAUCGCAAGCUAGCUCGUUUAUCUCAUGAUCUAAAUGAUAUGAGUUCAAGUUUACAUAUUGAAGUUCAAUUAAUAAAUGAGCUAAGCUGAGCUACCUUAUGAUAGAUCUGAACUUACUAAGAGUUGAACUGAGUUGAGCGAGUUAGCUCAUUUUGACACCCCUAAACGUAAUUCAUACAUGAUCCACACUAUUGAUUAAAAAAAACAAUUGCGAGCAGAAAUCAUCCGUAGUUAAGGAUUUUGCCCGAUUUCAUUCGGCAAAUAACUCCUCGUUUUAAUAAUGGUAUAAUACAUAAUUUAAUUUUACUAUCUUUACACAAAAUAACUAACUGGACACCCUUCUAUGAUGGCUAUAGGUGAGGCAAAAAACAAUGGAGGAAAGAAGAAGAAAAACAAAUUACCACUCAUUCUUGGAGUUGCGUUCGCCUCUGCGUUUGUAAUUCUCUCAUCAACGUUUGGAGCUAUUUUCUUGAGAAAGCGUCAAAAUACUAAGCCACAGUCCAAUACCACACCAACUACGUCCACAGGUAUGUAUAUAUAUAGUUGAUGACUAAGCGUUACGUUGAUAUUACUGGAUUAAAAAAAGUAGCACUGAUGACAAGUAAUCGUUACUAUCUGUAUAUUUUCAAGAGAAUGGGACAGGCACUGGAAUGUCACCUCUAGUUGAACAGCAAUUUGCUAGUGAUGCAGACCACUCUUAUGUUGUUCAAGAUGAUCAUCACUGACAUUGGUUCCUAGUUGUCAACGAGCUACAUCCAUGUGUUUUUAUUCUACUUUUAAAAUUUAUGAUAUUUUUCUUUAUAAAUAGUAUUCUGUUUAAUUGUUAUCCGACCAACAAUUGUUAUUAAACUCAUGUUUUCAUCACAUUCUUUUUAAAGAUAUGGGCAUUACCACUGAUUUCAGUGAUCCAAGAUGGUUUUUUUAAUAUUUUCUAUAUACACGAAUAUGGAUCAUGAGAGUUCCAAACCGGAUAGAUCAUGAUAUUAAAAUUAAUUGUAGUACAUAUGGAAAAGAAGGAAGUAGGUAAUGCAUGCCGGAGUUGGUCAGACUUUUUUAAUUUAAAUAUAUAUAUAUAUAUAUAAUCUAUAUAUCAUUAAUUAUUAUAAGAAAGUUGGCAGUUACAUAUAUCUCGUUAAAACAUAUAGUCAUACACAUUGCAAAAAGAAAGAGUUUGAAGCAACAAGUAAAUAAUUUGAAAACUUAUUAUAAACCCUGAUGUAGUUCAAGCUAGAAAGCUGAACUAUAAAGUCAUCACAGAAGCUUUAGCCAUAGCCCACGUCGACCAUGCUUUCCAUUUACGUGUCUUCCUCUACCCUUAGCUUGUAGCUGCUAUCUCAGUUGCCUUACAUGCAUAUUGCAACAACCCACUUCUGAAGAUUUUUAAUUUCAAAGAAAAUGGAUCAAGAGCGAUUUUUCUACAAAGGAAUUAUUUCUCUAAAUGUGGAAACACUUGAUUUCUUCUAUCGAGUUGAAACAAAUGUGGUCUAAGCCUCUAAGAAAGUAUUCGAUUAGAGAGGAAAAAGCAGAACAUUGACUUUCUCUGAACGGGUGGUUAUUGUCUUGCGUCUUGCGGGCUUGUUGCUCGCAUUAGCGUCAAACCAACGAAGAUUACAAAGCGGUUAAGUUGUUGUUGUUUAUUUCUUUGUGUGUCAAAUAAAACCUCAAAUUGUGUGCAAUAACUGUAUCAGUGUCAAAAGGUCAAAACCGUGUUUGCUAUAUAGUAUCGUAACUGGAAAUUAUUCGAUUAAUUAAUUAAAUUUUUUUUGUUUGCUAAGAAAACUAAUUAAUUUGCAACUUGCUGAUAAAAUAGACUAACUUGCCGGUCACACUAAGUGAUCAGAAUUAAAUAAAUCGACAACCACGAAAUGUUUAUUUGGUCAGUCAAACAAACAUGGUAGAGGGAGCUCAUGAGAACCCUAAAAUUGAUUACUAAAAGAAACAACAACAAUGCAUAUUCCUGACACUGUAGCAUGAGUUUGAAAAGGUCAAGAUUAAAAUGCACAUAAUGUAGGAAUAUCCUGUACUUGCCGGUUGUUGAUAAAAUUAUUAUUUCUCAGCUGGACAAUAAAAAUGUCAAAGCUAUAAAAUGUUUUCGUGUUCGAUUCCAACUUGGUUUUAAGAUACUAAUAGACAGCUAAAUUCUGCAGAUAUAUCAUAUAUAAAAAGAUGCGUGCACAGAUGUUGUAUAGAGAGCAUUAGUUGAAAAAUUAGCUCCCACCAUGGCUACUGAUUCUCUUUUUCUUCUCUUUUUUCUUUCCAUCAUAACCCUCUCUCAAGCGAGUAAGUAAACUCUCUACUAACUUGUAAUUAAACUCUUCGUUUAAAUAGUUUUCAAUCUUACAUAUUGUAAGUUCUUUCUUAGAACCCAACCAAGUUAGUUUAGUACACCAAAAAAGUCUUGGAUUUAAUCGUUAAUCUGAACACCUUGGUCGGGAUCAAUCGACAUGAUUAAAGGGUCCUUUUCAUGUUUUAUUUUCGUCGACUUGUGUUUAGUCUUUUGUAUAUGAUGCGGUUUCCUAUAAACGUUUACGAAAGGCUUUUGUUAUCAUAUGGUCACAAAGAUCUAUAUAACGACUUUUUUUCAAAAAAAAAAAAGAUCUAUAUAGCGACCGUGUGAAAUUUUCCGAAACCCCAUCACACAUUAAGCGUGAAACAAAUGUCUUAGUCACGUUUUUAUAAAUGAUGAUUUUUCAGAAAACUUCUUACUGCAGAUUAUUUUAUGCUAGGUUCUAAAUUCACUUUAUCUACAACAGAAAAAAAAAAUCAUCAUUUAUUCAAUUACACAAUUUUUUUAGUUACGUUGUUAUAUCAAAUAGCACUUCAUUAUUUGCCUCAAAGUUGGAUACAUAAUCCAUUUUUAGCUAUAUAUGAUUCACAUCAUCAUCAUCAUGACACUAUCAUGAUUCAUGCAUGCAUGAUCAAUUUCAGGUGUAAACAUAGACUGUGGAACGUCAUCAUCGAGCCUAGACGCCAACAACAUAAAAUGGGUCGGGGACAAAGACUUCAUCACAUCCGGAGAAUCGGCCACAGUUUCCUCCACAACCGUAGAGAAAUCCCUCACCACACUCCGGUACUUCCCAACCGGUGAAUCCAACUGCUAUAACAUUCCGGUAACAAAAGGGGGAAAGGUUCUAGUGCGCACGAUGUUUUACUAUGGGAACUACGACGGGAAGGCUUCAUCCCCAACCUUCAGUGUAGUGUUCGAAGGGAAACACCGAGGCACCGUAUCGAUAUCUUCGGCAUUCGAGCCUUACACUUUAGAACUGAUAUUUUCCCCAGCCAGCGGAGAGACAAGCGUAUGUUUUGUGCGCACCUCUUCGUCAUCAAACCCGUUUGUAUCAUCCAUUGAAGUUGCUGACUUGGCCGAUGGCAUGUAUGACGAGCUUGGUCCCGGUGAAGGUUUAUUUUACCAACAACGAGUUGCGUAUGGGACAACAGAAACUAUAAGGUAAUUAACAUUAUCCAACUACGUACUUCUAUAACUAACAUAAAUAGUGUUGAGUUUCAUGAUCAAUGAGUAAAUUGGCAUAUAUCCUCCAGUAAUACCCUUUAUUUUUUCUAAUUCUUAAUGUAGACUUCUGAAAAUACCUUUCAAUUAUAUUUUCUUUUAGUUUUGUGUUCAUGGUCAAAAAUGUUCUAUUUAUUUACAAAAAAAGUGUUUUAUUUCAAAUGAAAUGAUAGUAUCUUCCGUUUUAAUCCCAAAAUGUUUGUAAAUUGUAAAUGUAUAUGGAAAAAAGAAACCAUUUGAAAAACAAAUGAUGAUAAGAAAACGAAAAAAAAUUGAAAAAAUAAAUUUUAGUGUGAGAUUUUUAGAGUCUCUUGUUGUGUGAGUGAAGAACAAACCCUUUAGGGUGAAAUGACUUUUGAACUGAUGAAGGGAGAAUCUGAUGAAAAAGAGUGUAAGUGAUUUAGAAACAAGAGAUUAUAGAGAUUGAGAGUAUAAGAGAUUGAGAGAUUAAUCUUGAUUGGUAGAGCAUAAUGCAGUAGCAGCAUGCUAUAGAAUCAGUAUGCUGCAGGAGCUGUACGCUUUUUGCUAAACUGUUUAAUAGGAUGAUUGUUAGAGCUCUGUGAGUAUGCUAUUUAAAACUAUUAUAAAAAUUAGUAUAUAAUAUAUAAUAUAUUUAUUUUAAUGAAUAUAUUCCUAUUAUAUAUAUAUAAAUAUAUAAAAUUAAAAUAUAAAUAAUUAAUUUAUUUUAUCAAUAAUUUAAAAAUUAUGAUUAUAUCGAAAAAUUAUUUUUAAAUAUAGAUAGUUUAAUUAUAAAAGAUAUAUUUAAAAAAUUCACAUUUAAAAUAAAUAAAUUAUAUAAAUUAAAUUAUAUAAAUUAAAUUAUAUUUUAAAUGUGAAAUAUUAUUUUUUCUAAAAAAUAUUUUAUUGUAAAUUAAUUUUAGAAAUGCAAAAAUUUAUUUUCUGGUUAUAUAAAUAGUUUUAUCAUAUUAUUAAAUAAAAUAAAUAAAUUAAUUACACAUUUUCCUUAAUUUUAUAAAUUAUAAAUGCAAAUACUCUUUUAAAAGCUUCAUAUGAAAGCAUUGGCCAUAGAGCAUUUGGAGACUAUUAGCAUUUAGUAAAUACUUCUCUAAAUGUUUUUCUAACAAUUGUUGAUUGGAUAAUGUAGAGCAUGAUGCUAAUGCUUAUGCUCUACCAAUCAAAGCUAAGUAACCAAGAAUAGAGUUUCAAAACCAAGAACACUUUAGAUAAUGAAGGAGAAGGGAAAUUCCCCUUAACUUACUUAAGUUAAAUCUGUGUACAAUGAGGACUUUUAUAGCUAAAUACAUAAGACAAUAAAGAUUAAAGAAAUAUGAAGAGGACAAAGAGAUAAGGGUCCAACAGCUCUAAAGAGAUAAUUAAGGUUCCAACAGUACUAUUUUGAAUUUUAAACUUUGAACUUUUGGACUGUAGUGAACAGUGCUCGCGAAUCCUUACAACACCAAAAUGUUCAAUGAAGGUUUUUCAAAAUCGCCCACUUUGAUGCCGUAGGGGAUAUGUCUUUUUUCUCAAACACUGUUCUUUUCCCUUCAACAUCAAAGUGCUCAAUAUAGCUUUUUUGAAGUGCUCACUUCGAUGUUGUAGGUAAAUCUGUUUUCCACUUCUCUUUUGCUCUCUUUGUCUUUGAUUCUUCCUUCUUCAUUUUCUUCAAGUUAACAUUUAGUAACUAAACAAAACACAUAUACGCCAAAUUUAAACAACAAUCAAGACCAUAAUCUCAUUAACCAUAAAAUAUGUAAAAUGGCUAGGAUUAAACCUAUACUUACAAGUUAAUAGCUUCUUGGGUUUGGCUAUAUAAGAAUAACUUUUUCAUUUUCUUUUAGAUCGGAUCUUUACGGUAGGUUCUGGCUGCCUUCCGAGAUAAACAUAUUGUUGACAGGAGUACCGUCAGCAGCUGCAUCUAUCGAUACCUCUGAUGCAUCAAACAAGCCGCCUGAGUCCAUUCUUCGUAACUCUUGGAAUGGGGAAAGCUUAACACUAUUCGACGCCACUCUUCCUACGGGAGGAGUUCCUGUUUACUUGGCUAUGUAUUUCUCGGAGCCACUCGAAAUGAGUGUACGAUCGUUCAACAUUUUGUUUGGCAGUAAGAAAGUUGGUACGGGUCCAAUUGUGCCAGUGUAUGGAAAAGCUACCCAAGUGGUAGUGAGAGACGUCGUGGCCAGCUCAAGCUCCCAGCUAGUGUUCCAGUCCACAGCUAGUGCACUUUUACCCCCCAUGAUAAAUGCGUUGGAGCUCUACGUGAUAAGUUCUGGUACAAGUGGAGAUGGAAGCGGUAAUGGAAGUGGAAGCGGAUCAGGAACAGGUGGAGGUGGUGGGGAAGGUGGAGGAGGCGGAUCUGGGAGUGGCGGACCUGCAGGUUUUUUUGAAUGAAUUUUUCAGUGAUUAGUCUUGGUUACGGAGUAAAAUCCCAAAUUAUCAAAAAUGCCUUAUAUAUAUAGUUACCUACGUAAUUUAAUAUAUAACUUUUUUUUGUUUAACUUUUUCCUAAGGCUCUGGUGGGACUGGAAAAGGGGGAGGAAGCAAUGAAGGGAGCUCAGGUUGGUAAUUCGAGUUUUCUUUCCGUUCUAGCUUGCGAUCUUGAUGGGUUUAUUAGUUUGAUGAAAGUAACCCAUAUAUACAGGAGAUAUCUUUAUGCAUUUAUAGAUCAUAAAUGAAGAAAUGCAAGUAAAAAUCAGUACAUUCUGAUAUCAAUGUAGGUGGGUCAAACAAUGAAGAAAAGAAAAGUAAACUGCCAAUUAUAGUCGGUGCGGUAUCUGCGGUAGUGUUUGUUAUUAUUGUAUACGUUAUCGUUGCUAUUUUCUUGGCGAAACGUCGCAAAGGAAGGCUGCAAGGACUAACAUUGCCAACGUCUACAGGUAGACAUUGGUCUCUUGAUAUGUUUAGUAUAAUUUGUACUGUAUACAAAGAGUUUGAUCUCUUUGUUUUGAUGAUAGUUUCUCAAACGGGUACUGGACCAUCCCCUCUAUUUGGACAACAGACGGGGAACGACGCGAACCAGUCAACAAAUGAGGCAGACAUGGGAGAUAUCGACGACCUGAUUGGAGUGAACCAAUCGUAUGUAACACAACAACAUUGAACUUCUGUUUGAUAUAAAUAUUUUUAACCUUCAAUAGUUCAAUUGUAUGGCUUUCCAAUGACUUUUCUUUUUCCUUCUAAAUUGCGAGAUGUUUUUUGUUCUUUAUGGUUUUUUUUUUAAAUAAAGUUGUUCUUUAUUGUUAAUCACAUUCAAUUAUUUAUGGGAAAUUACUUGAUGUAUGCAAAAAACACAUUAUAGUUCACUAACUAACCGAACAAAAAUUAUCCCCUAUCAUUUCUACAAUAUAUACCAUAUUGACCUUUAUAUUUAUUUCUUUAUUUUUUUUAGUUUUUGCUCAUUUUUAUCCCCUUCAAUCUUAUUUCCUAAAUAGUCUUUAAAGUAUAUAAAUUCAUAUAUUUUAAAAUUCAACUGCAAAACAUAAUCUUCUAAUACAUAUAACAUGAUUUGAAUUUUUUAAAUCAUAUACUUUUUCAAAAAAUUAAACACCCACCAUUGACGAAACUGGACUGAGAUGCGGCGCCACAAUAGAUAGAAAGAACAUGAAAACAAAAAACUAAAGAGAACGUUUUCUAUGAUUCGACUUCCGUUGCAGAAGAAAACCCUCUUUAAUAGAAGUCAAAUAAUAUGAGCAUUUUGAUAGAAACUGAAUCGAUUCAUCAAGCUGAGGAAGAUAAUUGGUUUUGGUACCAAAACGUUUUUCGCAAAAAGAGAGAUUAAAAUAAAAGAAGUAAUUGCAUAUAUUUUAAUGACAUGAUCUAAAUAUUUUCUUCAAAUGAAUGACAUGUCAUUAAAUUUGUAUUUGAUUGGUUGAUUAAACAUGUUGAUGUGGACACUCUAGAUGUUGAUUAUAUUAUCUUUUUAGUAUUGUAAGAUUUGUGAGGUUGUGAAUGUUGGACCUGUUGACAAUCUUAUGGAAAAAAGGAAAAUCUUUAACUAAGUAGAAUUAACUAUUUGCGAGAUAAUGUAGAUGAGCAUUUAAUUUUAUAUUGUUUUAUUUUUAUGACAUGAUAUUAAUUUAAUUAUUAACAUUUAGUGAUAUGUGUUUAAGAUGUCCAAUGUGGUUCAAGUAUGCAAAAUAAGUAUCAAAUUUCUUUAAAUCUAAUGAGGCAUCAUGGUUUGUAUGUAUUGCUCGGGUUUUUUGGUGUACGAGAAUACAAAAAAGGUCUUAUUUUUUUUGUUUUGUUUCUAAGAUUUAAACUGUUGAUAAUAUAUGAUUUUAAUUGAAUAUUUUUAUUUUGUUGAUGUUUCAAGAGCUGUGAUUGUCUCUAAUAACUUCAGUGCCACUGCUAUUCUUUUUGAUCCAAAACUACAAGAAGUGUUUAAUCUCAAUUCAAAGUAACCUAGCGAUGAUUUUGUUAUUUCUAAAGAAGACUUUGAUCCAAAAUCUAUAUAUUUUAAAAUAGAUUUAUAUGAUGAGUUUUUUCCGUUAAGAAUCCACUAAAAUUUAUAAGUAGAAUGAAUGUAUUGAAUGAGGCGUGUUAUGCUUAUUAAAUAUUUUGGUUAUAGCAAUAUAAUGUAGGUUGAACCUAUAAACCUUGAAUUUUUUUUUUGAAAAUGUAGCAUCUACUCUUAUUCAAAACAUUAUAUAAAAAUAUCUCUAAAACUACCGAGCUUGAGCCACGAAUAAAAAAUUAGAAAAAUACCACCACUCUUCGAUAUUGAAAAGAAUUUUGUUAGUCAUAAUUAAUCAAGCAAAUAAUCCAAAUUUUAAAUAAAAUAAUUGUGUUUAGACCCACAAGCCAUUAUAAUUUGAUUAAAAUCGAAUAAAACACACAAAUAAAUUUAAUAUGUAUAUCUAAUUAAAUAAAUUAGUCUGAAUACAAAACCUAAUUCUAUCACUUUUUAUUGAGAAUAUAUAUUAAUCUGCAUCUCACGCACAAGGUGCGGAUCCACACCUAGUUGAGUUUUCCAUUUUUUGAGGAGAGAUCAUUUAAGGAUGGAUUAGCUGAAAGGAUGAUCUUAGACAAGAAAAAAAUCACGGAAUAUCUGUGUGCGUCACCAAAAGCGUAAUUUUGUUUUUGUCAAUUGAGUUCAUUCAAGGAUAACUGAGUAAACCAACGUACGAACAAGCCAUAAACCGGCCAGUAAGAAGAAUAAAGAGGAAAAAAACAAACAAAGGUGCUGUUCCAGAGGGGCCAGAAGUCGCAAGCUUGAUCGAUGGAGUCUGCCUGCACUCUCUGCUUCAUUCAAACAACUGACGAGGGCUUCAGCACACAAGAUAAAUAGGAAUGGAGAUAAGGGAUUACCUUGUCUGAUACCCCUCUCUGGCUUAAUAAGCCAUGUUCAUUCCCAUUCAUGAGGACAGAGAAAGAGACCGAGCUAACACAAGCCAUAAUCCAUUUGAUCCAUCCAUGCGCAAAGCCCGUUUUUUCCAUCAGAAUCUUCAAGAAGUUCCACUGAACUCUAUCAUUGGCUUUUGACAUGUAUGUCUUUAUUGCCAUGAAGCCAUCAGACACUCUAGCAUUAACCUUGAGGCCAUGGACCAUUUCAUGAGCUAUGAGUAUAUUAUCUGAGAUGAGUCUGCUUGAGACAAAGGCUCCUUGAGUCUCUGAAAUAAUACCAUGAAGAAUAUGCUUCAAGCGGUUGCAAAAAAUCUUGGAUACAAUCUUGUACUGAACCGAGAAGAGCCUAAUAGGCCGCAUGUCUGACAUCUUGGACGGGUUUGGAAUUUUAGGGAUAAGACUCAGCUGAGUGUGAUUCCAUCCAUCCGGAAUGUCGUAGCAAAGAAGGAUAAGAUUUAUGAAGUCAAGGAAGGCCCAACGAUGUGCCAAAAGCGCUGGUAAAAGACUCCUGUGAGGCCACCUUCUCUCGGGGCGCUACUCCCUUUAACACUAAAUACUGCCCUCUUAAUCUCAUCUUCUGAAAUAUGAGCCAUCAGAUGCUCAUUCAUAGUCUGCAUCACACGUUCUUGGAACCCAGCAAACAGAGAUUCAAUUUCAAAUGGGUUAGAGCUCAUGAAAAGAUCUCUGAAGUAUUUGACUGAUAUCUCUCCUUUUGCUCCUUCAGAGAAAUGUUCUUGUCCAAGUUCAUCGAGAAGCAUGAGGAUUCUGUUUUCGUGCCUCUUUCCUUUGACACAGUUAUGAAAAAACUUGGUGUUCCUAUCCCCAGAUUUUAACCAUUCUUCUAUGCAUUUCUGUCUCUAGUAGAUCUCCUCUUCCUUAUAAGCAGCCGCAAGCUCUUGUUUUAGUUUCCCCAUAUACGAGAAACAUGGUGAUCUCUUUGCUAUUUCUCGCUCAAGAGCAGAUUUGAGUCGAGUUAUCGUGUUCCUGGAGUUCAAAUCUGCAUGUUUCUUCCACCUCAGAAUCCCUCUACGACAGCGGUUGAUCCUCUCCUUUGUGUUGUUUUGAAGCUCCUCUCGAGAUCCCCAGCAUUCUUUGAUAACAUCCUCUAAGCCCGCUUUCGUUAACAUUCUUUUAUCAAAGAAAAUUCUUCCUCUACCAGAUCGGCUCUUUCUAAUGCAAAACAGAUCCUUAUCGGUCUGUGGUCGGGCGUCCACAUCUCAAGGUAUUCCAUACUAGCUCUAGGAAAGAGGGUAAACCAUUCAUUGUUGCCAAAGCUCCUAUCCAGUUGGCAUUUGACCCACACAUUAUCCAUUUUCCCUCCCCAAGAGAGCAUAUUGCCUGUAAAUCGGACUUCUUUCAGUUUACAAUUCUCCGCCAUGUUCCUAAAAUCCCAAAAGGACGAUUCAGGACGCACAACUCCACCUUCCUUCUCUUCAUUGGACAUAAGUUCAUUAAAAUCACCCACCAACAGUCAAGCCUCAUCUCGUGCUAAGCCAAUAUCUGUCAAAUGCUCCCACACCUCCUGUCUUUUACUCUUAACAGGAUCAUCAUACAGACAGGUCAAAAAGAAUGAGAUUGACCCCAGUGUAACUUUAGUAUCAAUAAUCCUCUUGUCACUACUCAGAAUCUCUACUUUGUAGCUCUCCUUCCACAUGAAGGCCAAUCCUCCACUAAGGCCUAAUGGUUCCAUAGUAAUCAUUUUUCCGUAACCCAAACUCUCUUGCAACUCAAACAUAUAGCCGUUCCUUUUUUUUGUCUCCAUCAAAAAAAGAAAAUCAGGAAAGAACCUUCGAUGCAAGCCCCGAAGGUGUUGAACUGUCUCGUUGCUUCCUGCUCUUUGACAGUUCAAACUCAUAUAACUCAUUGGGGAGGCAGCGGCUUCAAUACGGAAGCCACCGUAGGAUCUGGGGUUUUUGUAUUUUUGUUGUCUGAUGGAAACAGAGGCAGAGUAGGCUUUCGUUUCAUAGCCAUCUGAGAAGGAGAUGUAGAUGAGAUACCAGCUUCCUCUGAUGCUAUAGUAGGUGCCUCGACGUUAGAUUCCUUUUCCACGAAUGAGGCCUCAUCUGCGUCUUUCCCUGGCUCUGGUUCCCAGAGACUCGCCCCUCAGAAGAAGGGCCAAUACGAAAACCCGUGGAAAUUAGAUUAGGGGCAGAGUAAGUAGAGUGUGAUGAGAAGGAUGAUACAUCAUCAGUCUCAUUAUUGCUACUUAUCCUGAGGAGCUUGUAAGGACCCUUGUCUUCCUAGCGAAAUGUUUUGCGCGCAACAUCAGGUUCCUGGUAAUUAAAGACAUGACCUUUACCCUUAUCUAUAUUGCUUGUAAGCCUUGUGAGACGAACAUAAGACUCAGCUUUAUUGUUCUCAAUGCCUUGCCUCACUCGCUGAACAAUAAAGCUGAGUCUUAUGUUCGGAGACGUAAGCAAUAUUGAUAAAGCUUUGUUGAGAGAAUCCACCAUUCUUGUUAGGAGAUUGCAGUCGGAGAGAAUAGAGCACUGGCGGAGAGGAAGAUUUUCAGGAAGCAAGUCUAGCACAAUUGAUGUGAAACAUCCAUUAAUUACGUUAAAUUCGACCACAUUUUUUUGUGAAAUUAUCACAAAGGGAAAAACGUGAUUGAGUCAAGUGAGGAGAAAGGGAAAGAAUGGAGGAAUAUAGAAAGUCUAGAAAAAAGACUAGAUUUAGUGCUCAAGAUUUGGAAAUAAAAUUAAUUGUCCAAAAAAGAAAGACCGAAGCCACAUGCCGGUGAAUAAUGUCCACUCAAUAAAUCGAGAGAAGAGAUUUAUUAGAAAGUAAAAAAGAUAUCGCCGGAAAUCGUCUUUUCCAGAGAGCGUAAGAAUGAAUGGGGAGGAAAUUAUUAUCAAUGAGGGGAAUAGAUGCGUUUACAAUAUGUGAUACUUUUGAAGCGUAAUUUUUCUAGAACACUAAUUUUAGUUUUUGUUCGAAAAACUCGGUUAUACCAAUUGGAUAAUACAGUCUACAGUCUUAAGGCCCUAUAAUGGGGCCCAUGAGGAGAGGUUUAGAGCUUAAAACGGCAUGGUGUCGACUAGUCCAAAAAUGAAAUUGCAGGCAGUGCACUGAAACUUCUUGAACUCGCAUGAGAAAUCAGAUAACGACGCUGAAAACCGACAGUGAUAAAGAAAAGAAGAAUCGUGAUUUUUAAAGAAACCUGCAGAACGUUCUGUCUCUCUUAUCUCUUAGCUCUCUCUCUCUCCCCCCCUAUAUAUACGCAAAGGCACGCAGGCUUCAGAACCAUCAAAGUAACAAAAGAGAAGCAAAGCAAAAUUGUAGAAGAGAACAAACUUGUGAAAGAGCAUCUUAGUUUUCUGGGCAGUAAAACGAUGUCUCUAAUCCCAAGCUUUUUCGGUGGCCGAAGAACAAACGUGUUCGACCCAUUCUCGCUAGACCUGUAUGACCCGUUCGAAGGAUUCUUAACGCCUUCAGGGAUGACAAACGCAACCUCCAAGGACGUGGCAGCGUUCACAAACGCGAAAGUGGACUGGAGGGAGACACCAGAGGCGCACGUGUUCAAGGCGGACUUGCCGGGGCUGAAGAAGGAAGAAGUGAAGGUGGAGGUUGAAGAUGGCAACAUACUUCAGAUAAGUGGAGAGAGAAGCAGCGAGAAUGAAGAGAAGAGUGACAAGUGGCACCGUGUGGAGAGGUCAAGUGGGAAGUUCAUGAGGAGGUUUAAGUUGCCGGAGAACGCGAAGGUAGAUGAAGUGAAAGCUUGUAUGGAGAACGGUGUGUUGUCGGUCACGGUGCCUAAGAUGCCUGAG